UUUAGGCAACCCCCUGGUAUCCAAUCGCGUAUGAUGCCGGAAGAGGAAGCUGAGCUUCAGAUCUCCUAAAGCCAGGGGGGAGCCCCUGUUAACGAAAAGCUUUGGAUGGCCAUAUGAACUUUUCCAUGUGCCUGAAGAUGUCAAGAAGCAUUGGAGCCCUCAUUCACUGCCAGUUCUGGUAGUGAUAAUCUCCAGGCAGAUCUGAGCAGUUUCGCAUUGAAAUUGGAAGGGAAAUUACCUCUGAAAGUCAUUGUGAUUCCUGUAGUUCUAGCAUGGACUCACACUCAUCUCUAUGUUCAUGCCUCUCAUUUCCAUUCAACUACAAACCAUCAUCUAACCGACUACCAUUUUCCUACCCAUAUUCAUAUCCAUUACACCCAGAAUGCUCCACCAAAUGUCCGGUUCAUACUGACCACAUCCAUUACCACCCACUCAUGCAUAUAUUCGUUCUACCACCCCAUUACACCCACUUUCUCUCAUCACUUUCCCCAUCCUUCAUACCCAUUAACGUCCAUCACCACAUACCCACUUCCAAACACCCCUUCCAUUCCACCUCAUCGUCUUUUUACCUUUUCAGGUCACCCAUUCCCCAUCUUGCAUAUUACCAUACCCAUUUCCCAUCAUCUCCACACUCAUUCUCUAAACCCAUUAAACCCCUUCCAUGUUCAUCACCUCACCCACUCUACACAUUCCACCAACCCGUAGUCUAUCCCUGCGCAUGCAUAGUUGCCCCAAAGUCCUUUCAAUCACCAUUGACAGCGUCCCAAAUUCAUCUCCCCGUGUGCAUGGACCCAUGCAAACCCUUCCAUCAUUUUUCCCAUCUUCAUUCCUCCCAUAUCACCAUGCUUUACAUGCCCACUGCCCACUCCUUCAUCUCCAUACCACCCUCCUCAUGCAUUCCCAUUAUUCCUAUUAUUCAUUACACCCACCUGUUACAACCCAUUCCACAUAUGCCGCUGCAACCUCCAUUGCCUCCACAUCCAAUCCUUCCAUCCAUGCCAGCUUUCCAACACCUGUACCUCCACAAAUGCAACCAUUAACUACACCAGGCACCUGUGUUCCACGCGUCUUUCAAGCCCGAUCCCUCCAUCUUUGCAUGGCCCUACCUGGCCCCACAAACAUCCAUUAUACAUUCCUUUAACUCAUCACCCAUAUCCUCCCAUGUCAUUCACUCCAUCAUCCUAUACCCACUACAUACAUACCCAUCCAUAUCUUUCUCUCUCUACACCUUUCACACUCAUGCUCAUACUUCCAUUCUUCACAUCUAUAUCCUCUUGAAUUUACAUCUCAUGCUCUCCAUGCACUUUGAUUUCUCAUUGGUUUAUAUCACUCCAUACCCCUCAUCCCAUGCGUACACCAUCCUGUCAUCCGCGCUUCACUCAUCACAUCCGACACUAUAUAGCUCACCCCUCACUCAUCUCCUCCGUCCCAUUCAUUGACCACCAGAGAAAUGACAUGGAGAAGGGUCAAUGGCGGCAUGUAGAGUUUCUUCUAUACUGCAUCAUAGGAACUGGGAUUUCUGUCAUGAGAACACGCUGUAUUCAUAAGAAAAGGAAAAGGACUUCAGUGGUAGUUAACGGCUGGGAAGGAAGGUAUUCCAAUGGACAACACUCUCUGGGCUGAAUGAAGUUGAAGUCCAGGUCACAAUUCGUAAGAACACGGAUCCUGGCCAAUCCUAUGGUGUGUUUUUCAAUGCGGCUACCACCAUCUGUUUCUCAGUUUCUCUCACCAUCUGUUUCUCAGUUUCUCUCCAAAAGGUCUUCAAUGUCUUCAGGGAUGAAAGGACUCGGCCUUAGUGGGAUGUUCUCUUCAAUGACAAUGCCAUGCAAGAGUUUGCUCAUAUUGCAAAUGAGCCGCAUCUUGGUAAUUGCAUAUUUGUCCUGAAGGCCUUCAACCCCAGUCAGAACAACAUGUUGAUGCUCCAUGGGAAUUUCAUAGACUCAUCAGUUUCCCUAAUCAUCUACUGCCCAGUUGAUCUACCUGCCAUCAGCAUAGCAAUGAGUGGGAACGACCAGAUUUUGAUCAUUGCUACUGUUGAUGUUGGAUACAAUAGAUGGUUGGAUAUUUGUAAGGUUUAUGCGGAGAUUCCUCUGUUCUGAUAGAUGAAAAUCCCAUAGUGCAGCUUUCCAUCAUGUUUCAUGCCUAGAGAACAAGAGGUUAUUAUUCAGAGAAGUGUGCCUAGUCAAAGGUAGGUUGAAGAUGAAAGCGAGCUAUGUGAUAUCAUUAACAUGGGUUCUGGGCAAGCAAAGGAUGCCUUGAAGAUAUUCAAGAAGCUUUUAGAGGACUCUGAAGGCUGGUCCUGCGAGCUACAAAUUCCACUGGCAGCACCUCAUUCGUUGGCAAGCUGUCAUCACCUCGAGGCGUGACCUUUACAGCGUCUUAGUAAACUGCGUAACUUCUGACGCCCUUUCUCGAUAAAGCUGAACCAGUUGAGUCACAAGGCGCCGAGCGGAGUGGAAAUACUUGUUGGUACAUGGUCAGUGGACCUUUGAUUAUCUCCGGAAUUUGCUAUAUGAGCUUUAUGAUGAUAGGUUCCUUGGCAUGCAGCUGAGGGAGCCACGUGUCACAUUCCAUCCCCUCAUCCCCUGUGUUUUUAAAUAAUCCUCCUAAAUCCUUUUCUUUAACUAAUCUUCCAAUUUCUAACUUUUUUUUUUUAAAAUCUCAAAUUUCAAAAUUUUCAUCCUUAGUUUCUUCUUAGGGUUCCAGAAAUCCCAUUUUCAAUAAAAUUUGACCGCCAUUUUCUUUUCGGCGAGCCACUUUCGAAUUUUGUGGCAUUUUAAAACGUUUUAAAAUAAACAUGAAUUUAAAUUCCGUAAUUCCGAAUAAUGGAAUUUAUGGAAUUAAUUCAUGCAAAAAUAAACGGGCUUUGGUGGGGGCCCGACAUAUGUGAUUGAUUGAUUGAUUGAUUGAUUCGAUUGUCAUGCAUGAUUGAUUUAUUCUGAUCUGUGACAUGCAUGAGAUUAUUUCUUAAGUGUGCUCUAACCCCAUUUUGUGAUAGCGCGUUGCCGUUUGCUGAUCAGGUACGCAUCCACUUCCACUUCAGUUAUCCUCUAUUGCAUAUUCUGAUACUCAUAUGUGCAUGAUUGAUUCGAGUAUUUAUUGAUUUUCUUAUUGAUUGCCAUGUCAGCUUCACCUCAUUAGUAGAGACCCGACUUAGGGACUUAGAGGGGUGCUACGGUCUUUACCGUACCUUCCCGAUAAGUAACCUGACCCCCGAACUUGAUCCGGUUUUUCGUAGAUCGCCUUUUCUAAAAUAAGGAGUCACACUUAGGGUUUUUCUUUCUUAUUUUGUUUACCCUUUAAAAAUAAAACAAAAAUAAGUGGCGACUCCAAGUCAUUUUCAAAUAAUCAAUAAAAAUCAAUUUUUCAAAUAAAAAUCGAGCUCGCCAUCGAGUGGGAAACGCAUUGAGCCGAAAUGCGGGGUCCACAACUGUCUUUUUGGUAUUUUGGCUCCCAAGGUUAGAAACCUAUAAAUUGAGAGCUCCACUUAAUUUAUGAGAAAGAGAACACUUGCAUUUAUUUGUUUACCUAAUUGUUAUUUCCUUAAAAGCUCCCAUUAUUUUCUUGGUAUAUUAAAUCUCCAUUUGCAUAUUCUUUAGUGCACCCUUGUGAUUCUUCCUAGCAUUUAAAUUGUAAUUAAGCCCUUGUUGAGCUAGGUUGAGAGUUUCAAACUUGUUAUUUGAGUGUUAGAACCUUCAAGUGAGUAAAGACUUGAAGAGAAUUGUGUAAGAGCCCAUUGGAGCCGGAAUUCAAGUGUAAAGGUGAUUAGAAGCUUGGUUGAAGCUUCAAGUAUAGUGGAAUCCUCACUCGAUUAGAGCUUGAGGAGAGUGGAUGUAGGCAAGGAUGUGCCGAACCACUAUAAAACUUGAGUUUACUUUCUCUAACCUUGUCUCUUUAUAUUUAUGAUUCUUAUGCUUAAAUUUAUUGUGUUUGAAAAAUAAUUUUUUAAACCCCAAUUCACCCCCCCUCUUAGGUGUUUUUCUCUAUUAAGAUUAGCCUUUAUUUUCUCAAUUGGUAUAAUAGCUAUGCCUCUUCUUUAAGACUUAAUCGUCUAAGAGGAUAUGGCUAAUACAUCAAACUUAUCUCACAUUGAAAGUUUUGCAACCAAUAGACCUCUAUUUUUUACGGGAACUGAUUAUUGUUAUUGGAAAACUAAAAUGACUUGGUUUUUACAAUCAACUGAUUUAGACUUAUGGGAUGUCAUUGAAGAUGACCCAACUUUUCCUUCAAAACUAGUUGAUGGAGUCAUGGUUCCAAAACCCCAACAAGAAUGGGAUGAGCAUGAUAGAAGAAAUUUCUAAUUAAAUGCUAAGGUCGUUUAUACUUUGUAAUGUGCUAUGGAUAGAAAUGAAUAUAAUAGAAUUUGUCAAUGCAAAUCGGCUAAAGAAAUUUGGAGAUUACUUGAAGUGACUCAUGAAGGAACAAACCAAAUUAAAGAGUCAAAAAUCAAUUUACUUGUUCAUAAUUAUGAAUUGUUUUUGAUGAAAGAUAUUGAAACAAUUGUUGAGAUGAUUACUAGGUUCACCGACAUUGUCAAUGGUCUUGAUGCUUUGGGAAAGACCUACGAGGAAUUAGAGAAAGUGAUGAAGAUCUUGAGGUCACUUCCAUCAAAGUGGGAUGCAAAGGUCACCGUAAUUUAGGAAGCCAAAGACUUGGCCAAGCUACCUUUGGAGGAGCUCAUUGGGUCAUGGGUGAUAUAUGAGAUCAAUUUGGCAAAGAAGCAACAAGAAGGAGAAGACAAAAACAAGAAGAGCAUAGCUCUCAAAGCUACAACUAAGGAAGAAGAAGAAGUUGAUGAAGAAAAACAAAGUUAAGAAGUUGAAGACUUAGCCCUCAUCCCAAAAAGUUCAACAAGUUCAUGAGGGGUGAAAAUUUUAAAGGAAGAAGGUUCACUUCUAGAAGAGACUCCUUUAAAAAGGAAUUUUCAUCCCACGGUGAUAAGGAGAUAUGGGAGGAGAAAAAGGACUUGGUAUUCUUCAAGUGUAAGAAACUGGGACACAUUAAAUAUGAUUGUUCUCUCUACAAAAGUGAAGCCAAGAAGAGAAAGAAGAAGGCAAUGAUGGCCACUUCGAGUGAAAGUGAAGAUGAAUCCUCCAAAGAAGAAAAGGAGAAAGAAGUGGCAAACAUGUUCUUCAUGGAAAUAAAUGAACUUAAUGAGGUAAACUCUAAUAUUAGUGAUGAAAAUAUACAUGAUGCUUUUGAAGAAUUGUAUGAGGAUUUUAAAAAACUUGGUUUGAAAAAUGUUUCUCUCAAAAAGAAAGUUCAACAACUUGAAAAAGAACUUGGAGAAGUAAAAUAAAAAUUUUCAAAUGUUGAAGAUUCUAAAACUUGUCUUGAAAAAGAGAAUGAGAUUUUAAGAAAAAAAAAAAAAUGAAUAGUUGACCUCCUCUCUUUCAAUCUUUUCUUAUGAACAAAAAAAUCUUUUGAAAUGAUCCUAGCAAGCCAAAAAUGCAUUUUUGACAAACAAGGGCUAGGAUUCAAAUAUUCAAAGAAUCAAAAGUAUUUUAAGAACUAUUUUGUAAAGGAAUCCACAAGUGCAAGUCCUUCCACCACUUACAACUUUUGUGGAAGAGGAAGACACAUUAGUAGUACAUGCCCUUUACAAAAUGAUUCUCAAAAUAAUUUAAAUGCAAAAGCUAAAAUGAUUUGGGUUGAAAAAUCCAAGGUCACUAACCUUCAAAGACUCAAGAAGAUAUGGGUACUUAAAUCAACUUGAGUUGUGUGUUGUAGGGUUCAAAGAAGGAUAAGUGGUUCUUGGAUAGUGGAUGCUCAAGACACAUGACCGGAGAUGAAUCCAAGUUUUUUUUUCUUAUAAAGAAAAAUGGAGGAUAUGUUACCUUUGGAGACAAUGCAAAAGGAAAAAUCAUUGGUCAAGGCAACAUUGAUAAUGACACAUCUUCUCUUAUUGAAAAUGUUUUAUUAGUAGAUGGUUUAAAACAUAAUCUUUUAAGCAUUAGUCAACUUUGUGACAAAGGUUUUAAAGUGAUUCUUGAAGCAUCUCAUUGAAUUAUCAGGAUAUUCAAAAUGACAAAACCAUCUUCAUGGACCAUAGAUGUGAUAAUGUUUACACUAUAAAUAUUUCAAAAUAUGAUGACCAUGAUAGAUUUUGUUAUUAAUGCUAAGUUAUUUUGGUAAUUUAGUUGAUUUUUGCUUAAUUUUAAAAUUUUUUAAAGUUUUUAUUCUCCUCUCCAUGGUUUUUAAGGAAAAUUUCUCAAAUUAAAAUGAGAGAAAUUGAAUUUUUGUUUUUCACUUGACCUAGAGUUUGUAUUAUGCUUACUAAAGUUGAUGAAUUGUUGAAGCUUCUACUGAAUUCAAGCUUAGUUCUUCCACUUUAAGCUAUUCACACACUAUGCACAAUAGGUUCCGAUUAUAAGAUGAGAAACUAUUUCCCUCUUGACUUAGGAAAAUUUAGACUUGGUACCUUUGACCUCAUUUUAAUAGUGUUGGGACACCUUAUAAAAGGCCAAUGAGCCUUUGAAAAAAGAAAGAAAGAAAGAAAAAAUGUGUUUGCUUGCCUUGAAACCUGAGCAAGGUCUGAGGGGUAUAUGGUGAAAAUCUUUAAAGCCUGGUGCCCUAAGCCUUCAUUGGUUGGGAGUCACCAACCUCAAUGCUCGUUACAAGGGUGAAUAGGUGGAGUUUAACAUACUGUAGGUGCUUGGGUAUUAAAAUUCAUUCUCAAAAGUCCGGGGUAAAAUCCGAGGAGUUAGUGGUUGAAAGAUCCUUAAAGCUUGAUGCCCUAAACCUUAAUUGGUUGGGAGUCAUCGAUGGACCCCCGUUACAUGGACAAUUUAGAAAAGAAUACCUUUAAUCUUUGUACUCCUACAUGAAAAAAAUUGUGAAACAAAAGGGUGCGUUCUUAGCCUAUUAAAUUUGGUCAGUUUGCUAAGUGUUGAAAAAAAGCUAGGUUGGGGGGAGAGAUUAGUUUAGCAUACUAUAUUCGAAAACUAUCAACAUGUCAUCAACAAUUCGGAGUUAUUCAUAGCAACUAAAGCCCUGGGCUCACGACCCAAAGUAGCAUAUGUCAUCGACAAUCCUGAGUUGUUCAUAGCAUCUAAAGCCCUAAGCUCAUGACCCGGAGUCAUUCAUGUCAACCACAACCCUGAGAUGUUCGUAGUAUAUAUUGCCUUUAGUUCACGACCCCAAUCAUUCAUCUCAUCCACAAUCCUGACCUACCCAUAGCAUUUAGAGAGCUCAACUCGUGACCUAGAGAAGCUCAUGUCAUUCAUAGGCCUGAGUUGUUCAUAGCAUUUAGAGCCUUGAGUUCACGACCUAGAGUAGCUCAUGUCAAUCAUUGCCCUAAGUUGUUCAUAGCACCAAGAGCCCUGAGCUCACAACCUGUAGUCUGUUAUGUCAUCAACAACCCCGAGUUGUUCAUAGCAUCAAGAGCCCUUGGCUCACGACCCGGAGUCAUUCAUGUCAACCACAACUAAGAGUUGUUGAUAGCAUCUAGUGCAUUAAGCUUACGAAUAAGAGUAGCUCAUCUCAUCCAUAGCCUUAAGAUUUUAAUAGCAUCCAGAGUCGUGAGCUCAUGACAUAGAGUAGUUUAUAUUAACCACAAACUAGUGUUACUAAUAGCAUCUAGAGCCCUAAGCUCAAGACCCAAAGUGGCUCAUAUCAUUGACAACCUUGAGCUAUUCAUAACAUUUAAAGCCCUAAACGCACGACCUAAAGUCGUUUAUGUCAACCAUAGCCUUAAGAUGUUAUUGUAUCUAUAGUCCUUAGCUCAAAACCCCGAGUCAUUCAUGUCAUCCACAACCCUAAGCUCAUGAUUUAGAGUCUUUUAUGUCAUUAAUAGCCUUGAGCUGCUCAUAACAUCUAAAGUACAAAGCUCAUGACCCAGACUCAUUCGUGUCAGCCAUUGCCCAGAGCUAUUUAUAACAUAUAGAACCCUAAUCUAACGACUUAGUGUCGUUCAUAUAAACCACCACCCAGAGUUGUUCAUAGCAUCUAGGGCUCUAACCUCACAAAAUAGACUUGUUCAUGUCAACCACAACCCAACGUUAUUCAUAGCAUCUAAGGCCUUGAGCUCAUGACCCAUAGUCAUUCAUCUCAAACACGACCCUGAGCUGUUCAUAGUAUCUAGAGCCUUAAGCUCACAACUCGUAGUUUUUUAUGUUCUUGACAGCCUUGAGCUAUUAAUAGAACUUAGAGCCCUAAGCUCACAACCCAGAGUCAUUUAUGUCAUUCAUAACAUUUUGAGUUUUAAGCUUAUGACCUAGAGUAGUUGAUGUUAUCCACAUCCCUUUGCCAUUCUUGGCAUCUAGAGUCCUCCUCUCAUGACAUGGAGUCGUUCAUCUCAACCACGGCUCAAAGCUGUUCCUAGCAUCUAGAGCCCUGAACUCAUGACAUAGAGUCGUUCAUAUUAACCACAACCCAACAUUGUUCAUUGCAUCUAGAGCCCUAAGCUCAUGACCCAAGGUAACCCGUGUUAUCCAUAGCCCUUAAUUGUUUAUAGCAACUAGUCCCUUACGCUCACGGCCAAGUGUCAUUCAUGUCGACCACAGCUCUGAGCUGCUCAUAGUAUCUAGAGCCCUGAGCUCAUGACCCAUAGUCUUUCAUGUCAUCGAAAACCCUGAGUUAUUCAUAGCAUCAAGAGCCUUGAACUCAUGACCCAAAGUCGUUCAUGUCAACAACAACCUAAAUUUGUUCAUAGCAUCUUAAGCCUUGAGCUCACAAGCAAGAGAAGUUUAUUUCAUCCAUAGCUUUGAACUGUUAAUAGCAUCUAGAGCCUGAUCUCACAAACUAGAGUCAUUCAUGUCAACCACAACCCAAAGUUGUUUGUAUAAUCUAGAGCCUUGAGAAUAAGACCUAGAAUGACUGAUGUCAUCAACAACCCUAAUUGUUCAUAGAAUCUAGAGCCUUGAGCUCACGACCUAGAGUCUUUCAUGUCAUCGACAACCCUUAACUAUUCACAACAUCUAGAGCUCUGAGCACAACCACAACCUAAAGUUGUUCAUAGCAUUUAAAGCCUUUAGCUCAUGACUCAAAUUAGCUCAUGUCAUUGACAACCUUGAGUUAUUCAUAGCAUUUAAAGCCACGAGCUCAGGAGUAGGAGUUGUUUAUGUUAACCACAACCCAAAUUUGUUCAUAUCAUCUAGUGCCUUGAGCACACGAACUAUAGUACCUCAUGUCAUCCACAUCCUUGAGUUGUUAAUAGCAUUUAGAGCCCUAACCUCAAAACCCCGAAUUCAUUCAUGUCAGCCACAACCCAACGUUGUUCAUAACAUUUAGAGCCUUGAGCUCAUGACCCGUAGUCGUUCAUCUCAACCACAUUAUAAAGUUGUUCAUAGAAUCUAGAGCCCUGAACUAGAGUCUUUCAUGUCAUCCAUAACCCUAACUUGUUCAUAGCAUUUAGAGCCAUGAGCUUAAGACAUGGAGUCAUUCAUGUGAACCACAACCCAACGUUGUUCAUAGCAUUUAAAGCCCUGAGCUCACAACCAAGAGUAUCCCCUGCUAUCCACAACCCUUAGUUGUUCACAACAAUUAAAGCUUUGAGCUCACGAUCGAGAGUCAUUCAUGUCAACCAUAAACCUGAGUUGUUCAUAGUAUCUAUAGCAUUGAGCUCAUGACCAGUAGUCUUUUAUGUCAUUAACAACUCUAAGUUGAUCAUAGCAUCACGAGCCCUGAGCUCAUGACUCGGAGUUCAUCUAAACCAUAGCCCAAUAUGUUCAUAGCAUCUAGAACUCUAACCUGAUGACUUAGAGUACCUCAUGUCUUCCAUAACUCUAACCUAUUAAUAGCAUCUAGAGCCUGGAGCUCACAACUCGAAGUUGUUCAUGUUAACCACAACCUAGAGUUGUUCAUAGCAUUUAGAGCCCUGAGCUCAAGACCUAGGGUGGCUAAUGUCAUCCAUAGCCCUUAGUUGUUCAUAGCAUCUAGAGCCAUGAGCUCACAACUUGGAGUCUUUCAUGACAACCAUAGCCUAGAGUUGUUCAUUGCAUCUAGGGCCCUGAGCUCACGACCUAAAGUCGUUCAUGUCAUCCACAACUUUGAGAUGUUCAUAGCACUUAAAGCCUUGAACUCACGACACAGAGUCAUUCAUGUCAACCAUAUUGAUUACUACCAAAAAGUGCUAUUUUGUAGACCUAAUUAUAAUGGUUUUAAGCACCUUUGUGUAGUAAUCAUAUUCAUUUAACCCAAUUAAUUCAUUAAGGUCCUUAGUAAUUGGUUUUAACCAUUUUGUGGCAAGUUUACAUGUUUAUAUCAGCUUAUUAAUCAAUUCAAGCAUGCCAAAUGAUGGAGGAGCUACUUGGACAAGUUAAAGCAAGCUUUUAGCUACACCAAAGCAAGCCAACAAAAGGAGAAAAGCAAAGAGAAGCAAAGAGAAGCAAAUAGGAAAACAGAGGACAGCAGCUACAGUCUUCUUUGGCACUUUUGGAGCACUUCCCGAAGUCCAUUUUCUACAUGAUAUAUACCAUUUCAAAGCUCAGGAAGUCAAUAAUCCAACGCUUCAAACCGUGUGCGAUUUGGAGCUGAAAUGAGGAAGAUAUGGCCUUCGAAAGACAACUGCUCCAGGCUUGUGCGAAAAUUUCGCACAACACCUUCCAAAUUAGCACACCCCAUGCGUGGUGCGAAUUUUCCCCUGUUUUUUCCGACUCCACUUUAGAUCUUUUCUUUUCGAUAUUUUUGUAUAAAUUUCCAUUCUUCUCCUUGUAAUCCACCAAUCAUAAGAUUUAUUAGUUAGGAAGGUUGGAAAAACUUCUCUAUUUAUAUCUCCUUGCAUCCGUUGUAACAUAUAUUAAUAUAUAGAUAUAGAAAUAUAUAAAGUUCUUUUUUUCUCUCUUCUCCGGUUCUUCCCCAUUUCUAUUUUCUUAGUAGCCAAACAUCCUUGGUGAAUGAAAUCCCCAAGGAUGAGAGGCUAAAACCUUUUAAGUUUCUCAAAGUAUGGAUGUUAUGUGAUGGCUUGGAUGCAAUCCCAUGGAAAUUUCUCGCACCCGGAAGGUAAGGUAGUCGUUUUUCAUUAAUGGUUCAUUAAUGCAAAGUUUGGUUUUUAUUUCCUUUUGACAACUUCCAACGGCCAAUACUUGAUAAGCUUUUGGAUUUCUAUCCAUUAGUUAUCUCCUACGAGCUAUUGGAAGGUGAGGUUUUCAAUUCCAAGUUUUGCAUUAAUCCGUUAGAACCAAUUUCAAUGGCCAUUGAAAGGUGAGUUUAUCACCUAGAAUGACUUUGAGUUGCCAAUAUUUGGUAAGCUUUUGGCUUUAGACCAUUAGUUAUCUCUUACGAGCCAUUCAAAGGAAGUCUAAGGUGAAUAACCAUUGAUGAAAUUCACUACCAUCUGUUUUGCCAUUUUAAAGGAUUAAAACUUGAUUUGCUAAAUCCAUACCGGUUCGGGAAGCAAGCAUCACCAUAGUUGCAACCCCAACGCGAGNNNNNNNNNNNNNNNNNNNNNNNNNNNNNNNNNNNNNNNNNNNNNNNNNNNNNNNNNNNNNNNNNNNNNNNNNNNNNNNNNNNNNNNNNNNNNNNNNNNNNNNNNNNNAUCACUUGUGUUUGCGAAAACCCUCCCCAGUGAACGAUCCUAGAACCACUAUGCUAUAGUAGCUUGGCUACUUUAGUAAUAGUAUUCAAGGUAUAAAUUUUGUUGAUACGCCUUUAAAGCUAAGCUACCAUGAGUCGAAUCAAAUGGCGCCGUUGCCGGGGAAGGUGCCACAAGCACAAUGAAGCAACCAUUAAGGGUAACUUGUGAUCUUCAUCACAAGUUUGGUGAGUUUUCUUAUAAUUUUUUUUUUAGUUUAGUUUUUAUUUAGUUAAAUUUUUUUUUUAUUCUCUUUUCUUUUAUUUUUGUUUUAAUUUCAAUUUGUGCAUUCCUUGUUGGAUUCGAGACCAAGAGGGAACCCUGGUACAAGUUGAAGAAAAGUGCCUUAGUUGAAUAUCAUUUUUUUAUAAAUGGAAAUUCCACAUGAAGAUCAAAGCUCUCAUUAUGAUCAUGAGAAGGACAAAUUUGCAUACUUAUCCAUGAGGGAUCGGAUUGAAUUAGGGAAAAGGCAAGUUCAACACAGCCAAUGGGGUAGUAAGGAUGCUUUGAAUGAAGACAUGAGCAUGAAGGCAAAGCUAGCAUCUAUGGCUAGAAGGAUAGAAGAGUUUGAAUUGAGGAAUGUGCAUACUGAAGCACAACCACAAGCCAUGCCAACUUCAUUUGAGUAUAUAAACCAUCCCAACCUUACAAGCCAACCUCAACCUCAACCAUCAAUGAGUACAUCUUCAUUGGAGCAAGCCAUUUUGAAGACAAGCAAAGUCAUGGAGGACUUUGUAGGUGAGCAACAAAAGAUCAACUCUCAUCUUAAUGAAAAGAUUGAUAAUAUGGAGAGUUCAAUAAAUGUAAGAAUGGAGGGGGUUUAUAAUGACCUAUCACUAAGGAUAGAAAAAGUUCAAGACUCCAUUGAGAAGCUCACCAAUCUCGACAUAGCAAGGGGGAAAAGGAAGCUUCCUCCUCAACCCCACCAUAACCUUCAAGGAACCAAUGCAAAAAGAUCAAGGAAAGUGUUGAAGAUCGACACUUUGGUGGGGGAUUGCUAUGACAACUCUAUGGACCAACCUUCCAUUGAAAAUCAUAAGGUUCAAGAUGAUAAGGGGUUACUUGAACCCUUUAAAGCAUCCACUUCUCUAGGGAAGAGAAGAGAAACGAAUUCCCUUGGACCAAAUGGGAAGGAUGCCAAUUUUGUUUGGGAUCCAGGGGGAAUUCAGCAUGAAGUGGGUGUGUGAGUGAGGAUGAGCUAAAUAGUUCAUCUUCUUUUUGGGGUACAUGCUAUCAGCUUCAUUUAAAUUCUAUGCUUUCUUUAAAAUUAUGCAUGUUUUAGUUUGAAUUCUUAGCUUUAAUUUAGUUUUAAUAUGUUUUUAAGAUGAGUUUUGAAGUGUUCAUGCAGGUAUGAUGCUUGCAAAAAUCGAAGUUAUGAUGAAAGAAAAGGAAGAAAGGAGAGAAUUUUGGCCAUUGGUUCUGUUGCCACUUUGGGACAUAUUUUGGAGUACUUCCUCGAGUCCAUUUUAUACAUACUAUAUACCGUUUCGAAGCUCAGGAAGUCAUGAAUCCAAGGCUUCAAACAGUGUCCAAAUCGGAGUUGAAACGAAAAAGUUAUGGUCAUUGCAAGAAAACUGGACCGAGCUGAGCGGGAAUUUCGCACACCUCAAUUCAAGGUGCGAAAAUCUCAGUUCAAGGUGCGAAAAUCUCAGUUCAAGGUGCAUCAGUUUCGCACACCUCAAUCCAAGGUGCGAAAAAUUUCGCACCGUGCGAAACCACCUCCUGGCACACGAGUGCCAUUUCGCACACCUCAAGCCAAUUUUCGCACCGUGCGAAACAAGGUGUGAAAAUUUCGCACACCACUAUUCAAGGUGCGAAAAUCUCAGUUCAAGGUGCAUCAAUUUCGCACACCACAAUUCAAGGUGCGAAAUUCAUUCCAACGUGCGAAUUCGAGUGCGAAAAUUUCGCUACUGUUGGACACAAUUUUGAAGCACUUACUGGAGCUUAAAUUAUGUAUAUGAUAUGUCGUUUUGAAGCUUGGGAAGUCAGGAAUCCAUGGCUUCAAACGGUGUGUGAUUUGGAUUUGAAACGAAGAAGUUAUGGCCGUUUGAAGAUGACUAUGCAAAGCUGAACGAAAUGUUGCAGCCGCACCAAAUUUUGCUACUGUUAGAUACAUUUUUGAAGCACUUCCUGGAGCUCAAAUUAUACAUACCAUAUAUCAUUUUGAAGCUUGGGAAGUCAGGAAUCCAGUUCUUCAAACGGUGCAUGAUUUGGAUUUGAAACAAAGAAGUUAUGGCCGUUUUAAGACAGAUGGUGCAGAGUGCGAAAUUUUUUUUUUAAGUGCGAAAAUGCUCCAAGCUUCAAGAAUGGGCUGCGAAAUUCCCAUUUUGUUGCCAAAUGAUUUUCCAACCUUCAAAAUGGCUACAAAAUGAUUUCCAAGCUUCAAAAUGGGCUGCUAAAAUGUUUCUAUUUUCCAUGAGUUGCAAAAAUGUUUUUUCUUUUCCCUUUGACUGCAAGACAUGGCCUCCAAGCUAUGACAUGGCCUCCAAGCUAUGAAAUGGCCUCCAAGCUACAAAAUGAUGUGCAAAAACACUUUGCAAAGCCAAGGGAAAUUGUAAAAAUGCCAAUAGAGCCUCACAACCAUGCAUCUAAAGAAGAGAGCCCUCUCACUGAGAUCACACAUGAAGUCUCUCAUUCCAUUUCUUACCUCCUAAAACCAUCAAAGCUCAUAGCUCCAGUUGAGAGCUCCAGCAGAGGAGACUAUGCCACUUAAGGAGACUACCAGAGCAGAGGUCAAUGUCCUGACCCAACCCAUUCAGAAGGCCACCAUAUCUCCACAGGACCCUUCUAUUACUUGAUCAUCUCUUUAUUUUUUGUAUUUACUUAUUAUAUUAGUAUACAUAAUUCCAUGUUUUGAUGUCUUAUAUUCUGGGAUUAGAUGUAUUACUGAUGAUACAUCAUAUAUAGACAUCAUUUUUGUUUAAACUUGGCAUUUUUCUAUUUCCUCUACUCACUAACUCUUGUGUUUUCUCCUACAUGACUCAAACUCCAUGUCACUCAGGAGGUACCACUUCCUCCCUAUUUUUUAAUCACUUUUGAAACAUUGAGGACAAUGUUCAGCUUGGUUGGGGGGAGAGUUGAGGAAGGAAGUUUUUGUUAUUAAUGCUAAGUUAUUUUGGUAAUUUAGUUGUUUUUUGUUUAAUUUUUAAAAUUUUUUAAGUUUUUUUAUUCUACUCUCCAUGGUUAUUAAGAAAAAAAUUUCAAAAUGAAAUGGGAGAAAUUGAAUUUUUAUCUUUUUACUUGACUUAGAUUUUGUAUUAUGCUUACUAAAGUUGAUGAAUUAUUGAAACUUCUAUUGAAUUCAACCUCAGUUCUUCCACUUUAAGCUUAUCACACACCGUCCACACUAGGUUCCGUUUAUAAGAUGAAAAACUAUUUUCCCCCUUGACUUAGGAAAAUUUAGACUUGAUACCUUUGACCUCAUUUUAAUAGUGUUGAGACACCUUAUAAAAGGCCAAUGAGCCCUUGGAAAAAGAAAGAAAAAGAAAAAUGUUUGCUUGCCUUGAAACCCGAGCAAGGUCUGAGGGGUAUAUGGUGAAAAUCUUUAAAACCUGGUGCCCUAAGCCUUCAAUGGUUGGGAGUCACCGACCUCAAUGCUCGUUACAUGGGUGAAUAGGUGGAGUUUAGCAUAUUAUAGGUGCUUGGGUAUUAAAAUUCAUUCUCAAAAGUCCAGGGUGAAAUCCGAGGAGUUAGUGGUUGAAAAAUCCUUAAAGCUUGAUGCCCUAAACCUUGAUUAGUUGGGAGUCAUCGAUGGACCCCCGUUACAUGGACAAUUUAGAAAAGAAUGCCUUUAAGCUUUGCACUCCUACAAGAAAAAAUUGUGAAAGAAAAGAGGUGCGUUCUUAGCCUAUUGGAGGUUGAUUAGUUUGCUAAGCUUUGAAAAGAACUAGGUUGAGGGGAGAGAUUAGUUUGACAUACUAUAUCCGGAAACUACUAAAUAACACAUAGAUUUUUGUGGAAGGGUAAGGAUUGGACCUUUGGGAGCGAAAAUUAUUUUGAAGCUUAAAUUUGCAUAAUGCCUACUCUUUAUGAAUUGUGACUAGGCAAAUUAUUUGAUAGCUCCUAUUGAAGUUUGAGUUUUAUUUCUUUCAUGUUCCAUGUGAGAGUUUGAUCCAAUCAUGCCACUCAUAUCAUUUUUUGGAGUGAUUUGCAUGAUCCCUUUUAUGUAUAUUAUUAUAGUUUACUUAGUUUUUAUCUCCUCCAUUGCUAAGGGACUAGCAAUGAGUCGGUUGGGGGGUGUGAUUACUACCAAAAAGUGCUAUUUUGUAGACCUAAUUAUAAUGGUUUUAAGCACCUUUGUGUAGUAAUCAUAUUCAUUUAACCCAAUUAAUUCAUUAAGGUCCUUAGUAAUUAGUUUUAACCAUUUUGUGGCAAGUUUACAUGUUUAUAUCAGCUUAUGAAUCAAUUCAAGCAUGCCAAAUGAUGGAGGAGCUACUUGGACAAGUUAAAGCAAGCUUUUAGCUACACCAAAGCAAGCCAACAAAAGGAGAAAAGCAAAGAGAAGCAAAGAGGAAAACAGAGGACAGCAGCUACAGUCUUCUUUGGCACUUUUGGAGCACUUCCCGAAGUCCAUUUUCUACAUGCUAUAUACCAUUUCAAAGCUCAGGAAGUCAAAAAUCCAACGCUUCAAACCGUGUGCGAUUUGGAGCUAAAAUGAGGAAGAUAUGGCCUUCAAAAGACAACUGCUCCAGGCUUGUGCGAAAAUUUCGCACAACACCUUCCAAAUUCGCACACCCCAUGCGUGGUGCGAAUUUUCCCCUGUUUUUUCCAACUCCACUUUAGAUCUUUUCUUUUCGAUAUUUUUGUAUAAAUUUCCAUUCUUCUCCUUGUAAUCCACCAAUCAUAAGAUUUAUUAGCUAGGAAGGUUGGAAAAACUUCUCUAUUUAUAUCUCCUUGCAUCCGUUGUAACAUAUAUUAAUAUAUAGAUAUAGAAAUAUAUAAAGUUCUUUUUUUCUCUCUUCUCCGGUUCUUCCCCAUUUCUAUUUUCUUAGUAGCCAAACAUCCUUGGUGAAUGAAAUUCCCAAGGAUGAGAGGCUAAAACCUUUUAAGUUUCUCAAAGUAUGGAUGUUAUGUGAUGGCUUGGAUGCAAUCCCAUGGAAAUUUCUCGCACCCGGAAGGUAAGGUAGUCGUUUUUCAUUAAUGGUUCAUUAAUGCAAAGUUUGGUUUUUAUUUCCUUUUGACAACUUCCAACGGCCAAUACUUGAUAAGCUUUUGGAUUUCUAUCCAUUAGUUAUCUCCUACGAGCUAUUGGAAGGUGAGGUUUUCAAUUCCAAGUUUUGCAUUAAUCCGUUAGAACCAAUUUCAAUGGCCAUUGAAAGGUGAGUUUAUCACCUAGAAUGACUUUGAGUUGCCAAUAUUUGGUAAGCUUUUGGCUUUAGACCAUUAGUUAUCUCUUACGAGCCAUUCAAAGGAAGUCUAAGGUGAAUAACCAUUGAUGAAAUUCACUACCAUCUGUUUUGCCAUUUUAAAGGAUUAAAACUUGAUUUGCUAAAUCCAUACCGGUUCGGGAAGCAAGCAUCACCAUAGUUGCAACCCCAACGCGAGGAGCUUAUCCUGAGAUUUCCAAUUUGCAUAAGAGCCAGAGCAUAGCUAUCCUAUCUUUGAGAAACUUGUUUUUACACCCUUUCAUUGUAGUCUUUAAUGUUAGCUUAGAUUAGUUUAAAUCUUUCUAAAACAUUUACAUCUUCUUUUAAAGCUAACAUCCAUAAGAAAAUCACCUAUUUUCCUAAUUUGAAUAUCACUUGUGUUUGCGAAAACCCUUCCCAGUGAACGAUCCUAGAACCACUAUGCUAUAGUAGCUUGGCUACUUUAGUAAUAGUAUUCAAGGUAUAAAUUUUGUUGAUACGCCUUUAAAGCUAAGCUACCAUGAGUCGAAUCACAUAUCUCAACGUUGUUUAUACAAUUUAAAACCCUAAGCUCACAACUAAGAGUAUCCCUUCCAAUCUACAGCGCUUAGCUGUUCAUAGCAAUUGGAGCCUUGAGCUCACGAUCUGGAGUCAUUCAUGUCAACCAUAACUGAGAGUUAUGCAUUGUAUCUACAGUGUUGAGCUCAUGACCCGUAGUCUUUCAUGUCAUUGACAGCUCUAAGUUGUUCAUGGCAUCAAGAGCCCUGCACUCACGACCCAAAGUCGUUCAUCUCAACUAUAGCCCAAAGUUAUCCAUAGCAUCUAGAGUCCUGAGCUCACGACCUAGAGUACCUCAUGUCUUCCAGAACCUUGAGCUAUUAAUAGCAUUUAGAUCUUGGAGAUCAUGACUUUGAGUCAUUCAUGUCAAUAACAACCUAGAGCUGCUCAUAGUAUUUAGAGCCCUAAGCUUAAGACCUAGAGUGGCUAAUAUCAUCCAUAGCCCUGAGUUGUUCAUAGUGUAGUCAUGAGCUCACAAAUUGAAGUCUUUCAUGCCAACCAUAGCCCAGAGCUAUUCAUUGCAUCUAGGGCCCUGAGCUCACGACCUAGAGUUGUUCAUGUCAUCCACAACUCUGAGUUGUUCAUAGAAUCUUGAGCCUUGAGCUCAUGACCCUGAGUUGUUCAUGUCAACCAUAACGUAAAGUUGUUCAUAAAAUCUAAAGCUUUGAGUUUACGAGCCACAAUUAUUCAUGUCAACCACUGCCCAAUGUUAUUCAUAGCAUUUAGGGCCUUAAGCUCAUGACCUAGAGUAGACUAUGUUUUCCACAACCCUAAACUAUUUUUAGCAACUAGUACCCUGAGCUCACGACCAAGAAUCAUUCAUGUCAACCCCAACUAUGAGCUAUUCAUAGUAUAAAGAGCCCUUAAGUUAUGAUCCAUUGUCUUUCAUCUCAUCGCCAACCCUGAGUUCAUAGAAUCAAGAGCCCUAAGUCCACGACCUGGAGUUGUUCAUGUCAACCAUAGCCUAGAGUUGUUCAUCACAUCUAAAGCAUUGAGCUCAUAACUUAAAGUAGCAAAUGUCAUCCACAACCCUAAGCUGUUAAUAGCAUCUAAACCUUGAGUUCCCAAAUCAGAGUCAUUAUAUGUCAACCACAAGCUAGGGUUGUUCAUAGCAUCUAAAGCCUUGAGCUCAAGACCCAAAGUGGCUGAUGUCAUCUACAACCAUAAAUUGUUCAUAGCAUCUAGAGCCAUGAGCUCACAGCCCGAAGUCUUUCAUGUCAACCCCAGCCUAUAGUUGUUCAUUGCAUCUAGCGCCCUAAUCUCAUGACUCAAAGUCCUUCAUGUUAUCCACAACCCUGAGCAGUUCAUAGAAUCUAGAGUCCUGAGCUCACGACCUGGAGUCUUUCUUGUCACCAACAUCCCUGAGCACUUCAUAGCAUCUAAAGCCCUGAGCUCAUGACCCAAAGCUGUUCAUGUCAACCAUAACCAAGAGUUGUGCAUAAAAACUAAAGCCUUGAACUCAUGACUGAGAGUGGCUCAUGUCAUCAACAACCCUAAUUUGUUCAUAACAUCUAAAGCCUUGAACUCUAGGUGUUCAGCUAGCGACUUAGAGUUGUUCAUGUUAACCACAACCUAGAGUUGUUAAUAUCAUCUAGAGCCCUUAGCUGAAGACCUACAGUGGCUCAUGUUAUCCACAACCUUGAGCUAUUCAUAGAAUAUGGAGAUCUAAGCUCAUGACCUAGAGUCUUUCAUGUCAAGCACAAACCAGAGCUAUUCAUUGCAUCUAGGGCCUUGAGCUCACGAUUGAGAGUCAUUCGUAUCAUCCACAACCCUAAACUGUUCAUAAAAUCUAAAGCCUUGAGCUCAUGAACUAAAGUCUUUCAUGUCAUCGACAACCUUGAGUUGUUCAUAGAAUCUUGAGCCCUAAGCUCACGACCCGAAGUCUUUCAUCUUAUUGACAAUCUUGGGCUAUUCAUAGCAAUUCGAACCUUGAGCUCACAACCAAGAGGCGUUCAUGUCAACCGUAGCCCAAAGUUGUUCACAACAUCUAAAGCCCUGAGCUCACAACUUAAAGAACCUUAUGUCAUCCACCAAGUUGUUCAUAGCAUUUAGAGACAUGAGCUCAUGACUUAGAGUAGCUCCUGUCAUCCACAACCUUGAGUUGUUCAUAGGACCAAGAGUUGUUCAUACACAUAGUGGCUCAUGCAUCCAUGACACUGAGUUGUUCAUAGCAUCAAGAGCUCUAAGCUCAUGACCCUUAGUCUUUCAUGUCAUCGAUAGGCCUAAGUUGUUCAUAGCAUCAAGAGCCCUGAGCUCCUAACUUAGAGGUUUUCAUGUUAUCCACAACUCUGAGUUGCUCAUAGAAUCUAGAGUCCUAAGCUCAUGACCCGAAGUCUUUCAUGUCAUUGAUAACCUUGAGUUGUUCAUAGCAUCUAAAUCCCUAAGGUAUUGACCUAGAGUCAUUGAUGUCAACCAUAACCCAAAGCUAUUAUAGCAUCUAGAGUCGUGAGCUCAAGCCCUAUGCUCACGGCCCCGAGUCGUUCAUGCUAACCAUAGUCCAAAGCUAUUUAUAUCAUCUAAAGCUCUAAGCUCAUGACCUGGAGUCUUAUAUGUCAACCACAAUCUAGAAUUUUUCAUUGCAUCUAGGGCCUUCAGUUGACGACCUAGAGUCGUUCAUGUCAUCCAUAGCCUUGAGAUGUUCAUAGUAUCUAAACCCUUGAGCUCACGACCCAGAGUCAUUCAUGUCAACCACAUCCCAAAGUUGUUUAUAGCACCUAGAGCCUUGAGCUCAUCACCUAGAGGAGCUCAUGACCUAGAGGAGCUCAUGUCAUCUAUAGCCUUGAGUUGCUUGUAGCAUUUAGAGCCUUGAGAUCAUUAUCCAUAGUAACUCAUGUCAUCCAUAGCCUUUAGCUAUUCAUAGCAUUAAGAGCUCCGAGCUCACAACCCUAAGUCUUUCAUGUCAUCGACAACUGUGAGUUGUUCAUAGCAUCAAGAGCCCUAAGCUCAUGACUUAGAGUUGUUCAUGUCUACCACAACCCAAAGUUCUUCAUAGCAUUUAGUGCCCUAAGUUCACGGAACAGAGUAGCUCAUGACAUUUAGUGCCUUAAGCUGUUAACAACAUUUGGAGCACUUAGCUCUUGACCCAUAGUCAUUCAUGUCAACCACAACCUAGAGUUGUUCAUAGCAUCUAAAGACUGAGUUGAAGACCUAGAGUGGCUCAUCUUAUCCACAACCCUGAGUUGUUCAUAGCAUCUAGAGCCUUGAGUUCAUAAAUUGAGGUUCUUUACGUCAACAAGAACCUAUAGUCGUUCAUUCAAUCUAUGACCCUAAGUUUACGACCUAGAGGUGUUCAUAUCAUUUACUGCCGUGAGCUAUUUGAUUACUACUCAAAAAGUGCUAUUUUGUAGCUUGUAAUUAACUCUUUUAAACACUCUUGAGUAGUAAUUAUUACCUUUUAACUCAAUUGACAUGUUAAGGACCCUUGCAAUCGUUUCUAAUCAAAUUGUGUUAAGUUUUGGUGUUUUUGAUAGCUUUUUGCUCACCAAAGCAAUUUAAGAAUGAGGGAGAGCUGUAUAUAGUUCAUGGCAAAGCUUUUGGAAGCUCAAAUUCAUGAAGAAACCAAGCUUUGGAGCCUCAUAGUCCUUUGCCUUAGUCGUUCAAAGUAUGCAAGGAAAGAGCAAUGGAGAGAGGAAAAUAGAGUGAAGAAAACAGAGGACAGCAGCUGCAGUCUUCUUUUGCACUUUUGGAGCACUUCCCGAAGUCCAUUUUCUACAUUCUAUAUACCAUUUCAAAGCUCAGGAAGUCAAGAAUCCAAUGCUUCAAACGGUACACAAUUUGGAGUUGAAACGAAGGAGUUACAGCCAUUGCAAGCAGAUAACUCCAAGCUGAAGAAAGCAUUUUGCAAAAGUGUUGCGGAAUCACCCUUUUGUUGCGAAAUGAUUUCGCAGCCUUUUUGUACAGUGUUGUGGAUUCCCUCCUGAAGUUGCCCGAUAUAUGCCGCAAGUUGGAAGCUGAGUACCUCAAGAUGAAAGCCAACUUCGCAGCCCUGCGAGAAUAACCUUUUGUUGCGAAGUGAUUUCGUAGCCCUUUUUGUGCGUCUGCGAAAUCUCGCAGACCUCGUUUUCACCUGCGAAAUGGUCCUUAGUGCUUCCCGAUAUUUGUGCACCGACUCUUUUAGAUCUUUUCUUCAGAUAUUUUUGUAUAAAUUUCCAUUCUCUCCUUGUAAGCCACCAAUUAUAGGAUUCCUUAGUUAUUAAGUUGGGAAAAGGGGUGAAUAACCUCAGAUAUUUUGUUUUGUAAUUUUCUUUAUAUAUAGCUCUCGGGAGCUUGUUCUCAGGGCAUCAUCGAAAGAUAUAGAGAUAGAUAGAUAAAUAUAUAGAAUUUACAGAGCCUUGCUCUGUUUUUCCUUCUUUUUCAUUUUCAUUUUCUUGCUAAACAAACUCUGAGGAUUUUUCCUCAGAGGAUGAGAGGCUAGGUUUUUCGUCUCUUGGAGUGAGGAAAUCCGGGUAAGUUUCCACAUGCAUAAAUUGGAAGUUUUGUUGUUUUAGUUUUUAAUGAAGAGAAAGUGUGACCCGUUAAUGGUUUUUAUCUUUUUAGUUAACUUAAAACACCUUUAAAUCACCUGGGCCAACACUUGGUAAGGCAAGUGAUCUCCGUCCAUGGAGAUUCACUAGUUUAUCCCUUGCGAGCCUUUGGGAGGUGACUUGAAGGUAGGAUUUUCUAGAAUAGCCAACACUUGGUAAGCUUUUGGACUCCAAGGAGACAUCCAUUAGUUAUCUCUUGCGAGCUUUUGACGGGUAAUCCAAGGUUAAAGAUCACCUUGAAUGGCUAGUGCUAGGUGAGAGGUAUGAGCCAUUGCAAGGUGCAUCAGUGAGAGGGAUUUAGUGUUUGAACCCAUUAAUGGGAAGCAUUUGUACAACACCGGUUGGAGAAGGAACUAUAUGUUAAUUCUCUAAUGCGAGGAAAAGAAACAAGUGACCGGAACUCUCCUUUUUGUAUGAAGAACCCGAGCCUAGUGAUCUGAACUCCAAGAAACACUUUUCUUUGUAAGUAAAAUCAGUUACUAUUUUUGGUUAGUUUAAAACCAAACUUUUUUUUUCAAACAUCUUUAUGUUUUCUUUUAAAGCUAACCUUGAAAUGAAAAGGCACCAAUUCAACUUUGAAUUAAUAUCAUUUGUGAAGUGAAAACCCAUCCCAGUGAACGAUCCUAGAGCCACUAUGCUAUAGUAGCUUUGUCUUUGCUACCCUAGUAUAUGGUGUAAUAGGUUAUAAAUUUUGUUGAUUACUCCCUCAAUCAAGGAGCACCAGUUGGACACGAAUCAGUUGAUACACCAAGUGGGCAUGAAUCACUAUUCAUAGCAUCUAGAGCCCUGAGUUCAGGACCCAGAGUGUUUCCUAUCAUCGAUAGACCUGAGCUAUUCAUAGCUUCUAGAGCCCUAAGCUCAUGACCCGAAGUCAUUCAUCUCAACCAUUGCCCAGAGUUGUUCGUAGCAUCUAAAGCCCUGAGCUCAUGCCCAAGAGUGGCUCAUGUCAUUGAUGGCCCUGAUUUGUUCAAUACAUCUAAAGCCAUGAGCUAAGAACUUGAAGUCAUUCAUGUCAACCAUAGGCCUGCGUUGUUCAUAGCAUCUAUAGCUAUGAGCUCAAGAACCAAAGUGGCUUAUGUUUUCCACAUCCUUGAGUCGUUCAUAACAUCUAGAGCCUUGAGCUCAUGACCCAGAAUCUUUCAUUUGAAAAAUAACCCAGAGUUGUUAGUAGCAUCUAGAGCCUUGAGCUCCUAACCUAUAGUUGUUGAUGUAAGCCACAACCUAUACCUAUUCAUAGUAGCUGGAACCCUGAUCUUACGACCAAGAGUAGCCCCAUGUUAUCCAUAGCUUGAAGUGGUUCAUAACAUCUAGAGACCUAAGCUCAUGACCUAGAGUCGUUCAUUUCCACCAAAACUCAGAGCUGUUUAUAACAUCUAAAGCCUUGAGAUCCUGACCUAGAGUAGCUCAUGUCAUCCACAGCCUAGAGUUAUUCAUAUCAUCUAGAGCCUUGAGCUCACGACUCAGAGUAGCUGAUGUCAUCUACAACCACGAGCUCUUCAUAGCAUCUUGAGACCUAAGCUCACGACCCAAAUUCUUUCAUAGCAUCAAGAGUCCUGAGCACACGAUCUAAAUUUUUUUAUGUCAACCUUUACCUAAACCUCUUAAUAACAUCUAAAGCCCUGAGCUCCCAACUUAGAGUACCUUAUGUCUUUGACUACCCUAAGUUGUUCAUAGCAUCUAAAGCUUUGAGAUCACAACCCAAAGUCAUUCAUGUCAACCACAACCUUAAGAUGUUCUUGGUAUCCACAACCUUAAGUUAUUCAUAUCAUUUAAACGCCUAAGCUCAUGACUUGGAUUCUUACAUGUCAUCAACAACCCUGAGUUGUUCAUAGCAUCUAGAGUCCUAAGCUUACGACCCGAAGUCGUUCAAGUGAACCAUAGACAAGAGUUCUUCAUAGCAUCUAGAGCCCUGCGCUUACAGCCCAAUGUUACUCAAGUCAUUAAUAGUCUUGAGCUUUUCAUAGCAUCUAAGGCUUUAUGCUAAUGACCUAAAGUUGUUCAUGUCUACCACAGCCUUAAGCUAUACAUAGUAGUAUCUAGAGCCCUGAGCUGACGACCUAGAGUAGCGCAUGUCAUCUAUAACCCUGAGGUUUUCAUAGGAUCUAAAGCCUUGAGAUGCUGACUUGAAGUCGUUCAUGUCAACCAUGGCCCUGAUAUAUUCAUAAUAUAUAGAGCCCUAAGCUCACAACCCCGAGUGAUUCAUGUUGUCCACAAUCCUAAGCUGUCCAUAGCAUCUAGAGCCCUAAGCUUAUGACCCAGAGUCUUUCAUGUCAUCGAUGAUUCGACUCAUGGUAGCUUAGCUUUAAAGGCGUAUCAACAAAAUUUAUACCUUAAAUACUAUUACUAAAGUAGCCAAGCUACUAUAGCAUAGUGGUUCUAGGAUCGUUCACUGGGAAGGGUUUUCGCAAACACAAGUGAUAUUCAAAUUAAGAAAAUAGGUGAUUUUCUUAUGGAUGUUAGCUUUAAAAGAAGAUGUAAAUGUUUUAGAAAGAUUUAAACUAAUCUAAGCUAACAUUAAAGACUAAAAUGAAAGGGUGUAAAAACAAGUUUCUCAAAGAUAGGAUAACUAUGCUCUGGCUCUUAUGCAAAUUGGAAAUCUCAGGAUAGGCUCCUCGCGUUGGGGUUGCAACUAUGGUGAUGCUUGCUUCCCGAACCGGUAUGGAUUUAGCAAAUCAAGUUUUAAUCCUUUAAAAUGGCAAAACAGAUGGUAGUGAAUUUCAUCAAUGGUUAUUCACCUUAGACUUCCUUUGAAUGGCUCGUAAGAGAUAACUAAUGGUCUAAAGCCAAAAGCUUACCAAAUAUUGGCAACUCAAAGUCAUUCCAGGUGAUAAACUCACCUUUCAAUGGUCAUUGAAAUUGGUUCUAACGGAUUAAUGCAAAACUUGGAAUUGAAAACCUCACUUUCCAAUAGCUCGUAGGAGAUAACUAAUGAAUAGAAAUCCAAAAGCUUAUCAAGUAUUGGCCGUUGGAAGUUGUCCAAAGGAAAUAAAAACCAAACUUUGCAUUAAUGAACCUUUAAUGAAAAACGACUACCUUACCUUCCAGGUGCGAGAAAUUUCCAUGGGAUUGCAUCCAAGUCAUCACAUAACAUCCAUACUUUGAGAAACUAAAAGUUUUAGCCAAUCAUCCUCUGAGGAAAAACCCUCAGAGGCUGUUUGGCUACUAAGAAAAUAGACAUGGGGAAGAACAGGAGAAGAAAGAAAAACAGAGCAAGGCUCUGUAUAUUCUAUAUAUUCAUAUAUUUUUACAUCUCCAUCCGUCCCUCUGUGUAUUUUACAAUAGAUGCACGGGAAUAUAUAUAGAGAAGUUUUUCCAACCUUCCUAGCUAAGAAAUCUUAUGGUUGGUGGAUUACAAGGAGAAGAAUGGAAAUUUAUACAAAAAUAUCUGAAGAAAAGAUCUAAAAGAGUCGGUGCACAAAUAUCCCAUUUCGCAUGUAGAUUUCGCACGUUGCAUGGUGACUUGCGAAAAUCUCGCAAGUUGAUUUCGCAACUUGGAAUCCAUUUUCGCACAUUGAGCUCCAAGUUCGCAAGUUGCAAAAUCACUUUCGCAAGUUGGGCUUUAAUUUCGCACGUUGGAGUUCCAAAUUCGCAAGAUGCGAAUUUGUCAUUCAGCUGGAUGCAGUUGUCUUGCGAAGGCCAUAUCUUCCUCAUUUCAGCUCCAAAUCGUACAUGGUUUGAAGCGUUGGAUUCUUGACUUCCUGAGCUUUGAAAUGGUAUAUAGAAUGUAGAAAAUGGACUUCGGGAAGUGCUCCAAAAUUUCGAAGGAAGACUGUAGCUGCUGUCCUCUAUUUUCUUCACUCUGAUUUUCCUCUCUCCGUUUUCUUUCCUUGCAUACUUUGAACGACUUUGGCAAAGGGCUAUGAGGCUCCAAAGCUUGGUUUCUUCAUGAAUUUGAGCUUCCAAAAGCUUUGCCAUGAACUAUAUACAGCUCUCCCUCAUUCUUGGAUUGCUUUGGUGUAGCUAAAAGCUAUCAAAAACACCAAAACUUAACACAAUUUGAUUAGAAACGAUUGCAAGGGUCCUUAACAUGUCAAUUGAGUUAAAAGGUAAUAAUUAAUACUCAAGAGUGUUUAAAAGAGUUUAAUUACAAGCUACAAAAUAGCACUUUUUGAGUAGUAAUCACUCCCCCUAACCGACAUAUUGCUAGUCCCUUAGCAAUGAAGGAGAGAAAAAAUAAAAAUAAAAGUAAUAAAUUUACAAAAUCAUGCUGAUCACUCCAAAAAAUGUUUAAGUGGCAUGACUGAUCAAACUCUCACAUGGAACAUGAAAGAAAUAAAACUCAAACUUCAAUAGGAGCUAUCAAAUAAUUUGCCUAGUCACAAUUCAUAAAGAGUAGGCAUUAUGCAAAUUUAAGCUUCAAAAUAAUUUCCACUCCCAAAGGUCCAAUCCUUACUCUUCCACAAAAAUCUGUGUUAUUUAUUAGUUUCUGAAUAUAGUAUGUCAAACUAAUCUCUCCCCUCAACCUAGUUCUUUUCAAAGCUUAGCAAACUAAUCAACCUCAAUAGGCUAAGAACGCACCUCUUUUCUUUCACAAUUUUUUUCAUGUAGGAGUGCAAAGCUUAAAGGCAUUCUUUUCUAAAUUGUCCAUGUAACGGGGGUCCAUCGAUGACUCCCAACCAAUCAAGGUUUAGGGCAUCAAGCUUUAAGGAUUUUUCAACCACUAACUCCUCGGAUUUCACCCCGGACUUUUGAGAAUGAAUUUUUAAUAUCCAAGCACCUACAAUAUGUUAAACUCCACCUAUUCACCCAUGUAACGAGCAUUGAGGUCGGUGACUCCCAACCAUUGAAGGCUUAGGGCACCAGGUUUUAAAGAUUUUCACCAUAUACCCCUCAGAUCUUGCUCGGGUUUCAAGGCAAGUAAAACAUUUUUCUUUUUCUUUCUUUUUCCAAAGGCUCAUUGGCCUUUUAUAAGGUGUCUCAACACUAUUAAAAUGAGGUCAAAGGUACCAAGUCUAAAUUUUCCUAAGUCAAGGGGGAAAAUAGUUUUUCAUCUUAUAAACGGAACCUAAUGUGCACGGUGUGUGAUAAGCUUAAAGUGGAAGAAAUAAGGUUGAAAUCAAUAGGAGUUCAAUAAUUCAUCAACUUUAAUAAACAUAAUACAAACUCUAAGUUUCAAGUAAAAAGACAAAAAUUUAAUUUCUCCCAUUUCAUUUUGAAAUUUUUUUCCUUAAUAACCAUGGAGAGUAUUCAAAAAAACUUUAAAAAAUUUUAAAAAUUAAGCAAAAAGCAACUAAAUUACCAAAAUAACUUAGCAUUAAUAACAAAACUUUCUUCCUCAACUCUCCCCCCAACCAAGCUGAACAUUGUCCUCAAUGUUUCAAGAGCGAUUAAAAAAAAAUAAAGGGAGGAAGUGGUACCUCCUGAGUGGCAUGGAGUCUGAGUCGUAUAGGAGAAACCACAUGUUUCAAAAAAACAAAAGAUUUAGUGAGUAGCGGAAAUAGAAAAAUGCCAAGUUUAAACAAAAAUGAUGUCUAUAUAUUAAUCUGAGAAAAUAGAAUAUAAUAUAUGAUCAUGUAAUACAUCCAAUCCCAGAAUAUAAAACAUCAAAACAUGGAAUUAUCUAUACUAAUAUAAUAAGUAAAUACAAAAAUUAAAGAGAUGAUCAAGUAGUGGUAGGGUCCUGUGGAGAUAAUGGUUCUGUGGUGGCCUUCUGAGUGGGUUGGGUUAGGACAUUGACCUCUGCUCUAGUAGUCUCCUUGGGUGGUAUAGUCUUCUCAACUGGAGCUUUCAGCUGGAGCUAUGAGCUUUGAUGGUUUUAGGAGGUAAGAAAUGGAAUGAGAGACUUCAUGUGUGAUCUCAGUGAGAGGGCUCUCUUCUUUAGAUGCAUGGUUGUGAGGCUCUGUUGGCAUUUUUGCAAUUUCCUUUGGCUUUGCAAAGUGUUUUUGCACAUCAUUUUGUAGCUUGGAGGCCAUGUCUUGCAGCCAAAGGGAAAAGAAAAUUUUUUUUGCAGACCAUGAAAAAAUAGAAACAUUUUAGCAGCCCAUUUUGAAGCUUGGAAAUCAUUUUGUAGCCAUUUUAAAGUUUGGAAAAUCAUUUGGCAACAAAAUGGGAAUUUCGCAGCCCAUUCUUAAAGCUUGGAGCAUUUUCGCACUUUAAAAAAUAUUUCGCACCUUGGAAAGGAUUUUUCGCACUUUGGAUUUCAAGGUGCGAAAUUUUCGCACUUUGGAUUUCAAGGUGCGAAAUUCCCGCUCAGCUUUGCGUAGUCUGUCUUCAAACGGCCAUAAAUUCUUCGUUUCAAAUCCAAAUCAUGUACCAUUUGAAGCACUGGAUUCCUAACUUCCCAAGAUUUAAAAGGAUAUAUCGUAUGCAUAAUUUGAGCUCCAAUAAGUGCUCCAAAAACGUGUCCAACAGUAGCAAAAUGGGGUGCGGCUGCAACAUUUCCUUUCAGCUUUGCAUAGUCGUCUUCAAACAGACAUAACUUCUUCGUUUUAAAUCCAAAUCAUGCACCGUUUGAAGCUUUGGAUUCCUGACUUCCCAAGAUUUAAAAUUACAUAUCAUAUGCAUAAUUUGAGCUCCAUGAAGUGCUUCAAAAAUGAGUCCAACAGUAGUGAAAUUUUCGCACUCGAAUUCGCACGUUGGACUGAAUUUCGCACCUUGAAUUGUGGUGUGCGAAAUUUUCGCACCUUGUUUCGCACGGUGCGAAAAUUGGCUUGGGGUGUGCAAAAUGGCACUCAUGUGCCAGGAAGGUGUUUUGCACGGUGCGAAAAUUUUCGCACCUUGAAUAGUGGUGUGCGAAAUUGAUGUUUAGAGAAUUCGCACCUUGGACUGAGAAUUUCGUACCUUGGAAUGAAUUUCGCACCUUGAAUAGUGGUGUGCGAAAUCUUCGCACCUUGAUUCUCACCGUGCGAAAUUUGGCUUGAGGUGUGCGAAAUGCCACUCGUGUGCCAGGAGAGUGAUUCGCACGGUGCGAAAAUUUUCGCACCUUGGAUUGAGGUGUGUGAAAUUCCCGCUCAACUCGGUGCAGUUUUUUUGUAAUGACCAUAACUUUUUCGUUUCAACUCCGAUUUGGACACCAUUUGAAGCGUUGGACUCCUGACUUCCCAAGCUUCGAAAUGGUAUAUAUUAUGUAUAAUAUGGACUCGAGGAAGUGCUCCAAAUAUGUCCCGAAAGUGGCAAUUGAACCAAUGGCCAGAAUUCUCUCUUCUCUUCCUUUUCUUUCAUCAUUUUUGCAUUUCCUCCUGCAAUGAUCAUCCAAAAAACUUAUGUUAAAUAAAAAAUAAUUAAAAUUAAAGCAUUGAAAUCAAAAAUUAAAACAAGUAAUAAAGCAAAAAGAUAUGGACUAGCUAGUCUUUAGAAAGACUAAGUCCAUCAAAAAAAUGUUGUCUUGUUUCAGCUUGCCCGGAUCCCAUAUGAAGUUAGCAUCCUUCAUUAGAGAUUUGCAUUGUAUGAUGGAAAUGGAAACAAUUCCCUUUCUCUUUCCUUUAAUUUCCUCCCUCUUCUUUUUCUCUGUUUCAUUCUCUGUUUCAUGCUCUUGUUUGGAUGUGGCCAAAUCAACCUCUUUACUACUCAAAGUGAUAACCGUUUUAACUUCCUUCACCAUUGAAGAUUCUCCCUUUUUAGGCUCCACUUCAUGGAUGCCCUUGGAAUUUUGAUAAGGUUGAGAAGGAAAGUUUCCUUUUUCUUGCACUGUAUUGAGGUUGGCAAACCUUGAGAUUGAAUCUUGGAGAUUAUCUAUCUUCUGAGAUAGAUCAUUUUGCACUUCAUCCAUCCUUUUGUUUAAUGAACUCUCUACACUGUCAAUUCUUUGACUGAGAUGAGCAUUGAUGGAUUUCUGAGCUCCAACAAAGUCUCCCACGACCUUGCUAAGAUUCACUAUAGCUUGUUCAAGGUUCGAGGCUUGCUGAGGUGCUUGAGCAGGUUGCUGAGGUGCUUGAGCAGGUUGCUGAGGUGCUUGAGCAGGUUGCUGGUACUGAGGUGGCUGUGGUUUCCAAGAGAAAUUUGGAUGGUCCCUCCAAUUGGAAUUGUAGGUGUUGCAAUCACCAAACAUUUCCCUCACCACUAGAAUGGUAGGACACUCUUCCACCAAGUGCUCAUAGGAUAGACAAAUGGCACAAGGCAUGGGUUGCAAUGGUGUCUGAGAGAUGGCUUGCACUUCUUGCAUCAUCUUCAUUUCUAACUCUUCCAAUCUCCUUGCCAUAGUUGCAAUCUUUGCCUUCAUGUCUAUGCCAUCAUUCAAAAUAUAUAUCUCACCCUUAGCAUUAGGUUGAGACUUCAUUAUCCCCAUAAUAUCUCUAGCAUUUGGUUCAUCCCAUCCUCUUGAAACUUCAUCCACAUAACUCAUGAAGUUCAUGGCUUCCUCUGCUAUCUCGUAUUCAAUAUGACAUGCACAACUAGCAAUUUGUGAAUUAAAAACAGAGAAAACAAAAGAAAAUAAAAUAAAAACAAUUCUAAAAAAAUUAAGACUAACUAAAACUAGCUGAAAGGUAAACUAAAACAUAAAUAAAGAAAAAAAAAACAAUUAAAAAGGGUUAGUAAAAGAAAAGAAAAAUCACCAAACUUGUGAUGAAGAUCACAAGUGUUCUCAAAAGAUCAUAUCACUGCAAAGUGGCACCAUCCCUGGCAACGGCGCCAUUUGAUUCGACUCAUGGUAGCUUAGCUUUAAAGGCGUAUCAACAAAAUUUAUACCUUAAAUACUAUUACUAAAGUAGCCAAGCUACUAUAGCAUAGUGGUUCUAGGAUCGUUCACUGGGAAGGGUUUUCGCAAACACAAGUGAUAUUCAAAUUAGGAAAAUAGGUGAUUUUCUUAUGGAUGUUAGCUUUAAAAGAAGAUGUAAAUGUUUUAGAAAGAUUUAAACUAAUCUAAGCUAACAUUAAAGACUAAAAUGAAAGGGUGUAAAAACAAGUUUCUCAAAGAUAGGAUAGCUAUGCUCUGGCUCUUAUGCAAAUUGGAAAUCUCAGGAUAGGCUCCUCGCGUUGGGGUUGCAACUAUGGUGAUGCUUGCUUCUCGAACCGGUAUGGAUUUAGCAAAUCAAGUUUUAAUCCUUUAAAAUGGCAAAACAUAUGGUAGUGAAUUUCAUCAAUGGUUAUUCACCUUAGACUUCCUUUGAAUGGCUCAUAAGAGAUAACUAAUGGUCUAAAGCCAAAAGCUUACCAAAUAUUGGCAACUCAAAGUCAUUCCAGGUGAUAAACUCACCUUUCAAUGGUCAUUGAAAUUGGUUCUAACGGAUUAAUGCAAAACUUGGAAUUGAAAACCUCACCUUCCAAUAGCUCGUAGGAGAUAACUAAUGAAUAGAAAUCCAAAAGCUUAUCAAGUAUUGGCUGUUGGAAGUUGUCCAAAGGAAAUAAAAACCAAACUUUGCAUUAAUGAACCUUUAAUGAAAAACGACUACCUUACCUUCCAGGUGCGAGAAAUUUCCAUGGGAUUGCAUCCAAGUCAUCACAUAACAUCCAUACUUUGAGAAACUAAAAGUUUUAGCCAAUCAUCCUCUGAGGAAAAACCCUCAGAGGCUGUUUGGCUACUAAGAAAAUAGACAUGGGGAAGAACAGGAGAAGAAAGAAAAACAGAGCAAGGCUCUGUAUAUUCUAUAUAUUCAUAUAUUUUUACAUCUCCAUCCGUCCCUCUGUGUAUUUUACAAUAGAUGCACGGGAAUAUAUAUAGAGAAGUUUUUCCAACCUUCCUAGCUAAGAAAUCUUAUGGUUGGUGGAUUACAAGGAGAAGAAUGGAAAUUUAUACAAAAAUAUCUGAAGAAAAGAUCUAAAAGAGUCGGUGCACAAAUAUCCCAUUUCGCAUGUAGAUUUCGCACGUUGCAUGGUGACUUGCGAAAAUCUCGCAAGUUGAUUUCGCAACUUGGAAUCCAUUUUCGCACGUUGAGCUCCAAGUUCGCAAGUUGCAAAAUCACUUUCGCAAGUUGGGCUUUAAUUUCGCACGUUGGAGUUCCAAAUUCGCAAGAUGCGAAUUUGUCAUUCAGCUGGAUGCAGUUGUCUUGCGAAGGCCAUAUCUUCCUCAUUUCAGCUCCAAAUCGUACAUGGUUUGAAGCGUUGGAUUCUUGACUUCCUAAGAUUUGAAAUGGUAUAUAGAAUGUAGAAAAUGGACUUCGGGAAGUGCUCCAAAAGUUCGAAGGAAGACUGUAGCUGCUGUCCUCUAUUUUCUUCACUCUGAUUUUCCUCUCUCCGUUUUCUUUCCUUGCAUACUUUGAACGACUUUGGCAAAGGGCUAUGAGGCUCCAAAGCUUGGUUUCUUCAUGAAUUUGAGCUUCCAAAAGCUUUGCCAUGAACUAUAUACAGCUCUCCCUCAUUCUUGGAUUGCUUUGGUGUAGCUAAAAGCUAUCAAAAACACCAAAACUUAACACAAUUUGAUUAGAAACGAUUGCAAGGGUCCUUAACAUGUCAAUUGCGUUAAAAGGUAAUAAUUAAUACUCAAGAGUGUUUAAAAGAGUUUAAUUACAAGCUACAAAAUAGCACUUUUUGAGUAGUAAUCACUCCCCCCAACCGACAUAUUGCUAGUCCCUUAGCAAUGGAUUUGAAACGAAGAAGUUAUGGCCGUUUGAAGACAGACUACGCAAAGCUAAGCGGGAAUUUCGCACCUUGAAAUCCAAAGUGCGAAAAUUUCGCACCUUGAAAUCCAAAGUGUGAAAAAUCCUUUCCAAGGUGCGAAAUUUUUUUUAAAGUGCGAAAAUGCUCCAAGCUUUAAGAUUUUUGAUGUCUAAAUCCCCAUUUUCUCCUUGUAACCCACCAAUUAUAGGGUUCCUUAGUUAUUAAGUUUGGAAAAGGGGUGAAUAACCUCUUAUAUAUAGUUUGUAAUUUUCUUUAAAAGAGAGUAGUCGGGAGCUUGUUCUCAGAGAGACAACCUUUUGUAAUAGGAAGGAAUAUAUUUUACAGAGCACUUGCUCUGCUUUUCAUAUAUAUAUUUUUGUUUUCUCAUUAUUUUUAUUUCUAGCCAAUCAAACUCUAAGGAUUUUUCCUCAGAGAAUGAGAGGCUAGGCUCUUCGUCUCUUGGAGCUAAGGUAAGCAGGUAAGUUUUCAAAUGCAUUAAUUGGAAGUUUUGUUGUUUUAGUUUUUAAUGAAGAGAAAGUGUGACCCGUUAAUGGUUUUUAUCUUUUUAGUUAACUUAAAACGCCUUUAAUUCACCUGAGCCAACACUUGGUAAGGCAAGUGAUCUCAUGUGAACCACAACCUAGAGCCGUUGAUUGCUCAGGGCUCUGGAUGCAAUCAACGGCUCUAGGUUGUGGUUCACAUGAAGAACUCUAGUUCGUGAGCUAAAGGGUCUAGACACUAUGUAUAACUCAGGGUUGUGGUUCACAUGAGAUCACUUGUCUUACCAAGUGUUGACUCAGGUGAAUUAAAGGCGUUUUAAGUUCACUAAAAAGAUAAAAACCAUUAACGGGUCACACUUUCUCUUCAUUAAAAACUAAAACAACAAAACUUCCAAUUAAUGCAUUUGAAAACUUACCCGCUUACCUUAGCUCCAAGAGACGAAGAGCCUAGCCUCUCAUUCUCUGAGGAAAAAUCCUUAGAGUUUGAUUGGCUAGAAAUAAAAAUAAUGAGAAAACAAAAAUAUAUAUAUGAAAAGCAGAGCAAGUGCUCUGUAAAAUAUAUUCCUUCCUAUUACAAAAGGUUGUCUCUCUGAGAACAAGCUCCCGACUACUCUCUUUUAAAGAAAAUUACAAACUAUAUAUAAGAGGUUAUUCACCCCUUUUCCAAACUUAAUAACUAAGGAACCCUAUAAUUGGUGGGUUACAAGGAGAAAAUGGGGAUUUAGACAUAAAAAAUCUGAAGCAAAAUAUCCAAAAGUGUCGGUCGAAAAUAUCGGGAAACUUCAGGAGAAAUUCCACAGCACUGUGCAAAAUGGCUGUGAAAUCAUUUCGCAGCAAAAGGGUGAUUUCGCAGCCGUGCAAAAUUCUUCCUUCAGCUUGGAGUGAUCGGCUUCCAAUGGCUGUAACUCCUUCAUUUCAACUCCGAAUCAUGUACUGUUUGAAGCAUUAGAUUGUUGACUUCCUGAGCUUCGAAACGACAUAUAGAAUGCAUAAUUUGAACUCCAGAAAGUACUCCAAAAGUGGCUGACAUGACUGUCAUAAAAAAUUGCUUCAUGGCAGAUUUCUCUUUGCUUCCCCUCCUUGCAUUCCGGAUUUGCUUAUGACAAGGGACUUCAAAGCUUCGGUUCUUCAUGUUUCUGAGCUUUCCAUUGCUUUGCCAUGGAUUCCAAAGAACUAUCCUCAAUUUUGGAUUGCUUUGGUGAUCAAAUUACUAACAAAAACAUCAAAACUUACACACUUUGAUUAGAAAUGCUUGCAAAGGUCCUUAAUAUGUUAAUUGGGUUAAAAGGUGAUAACUACUACUCAAAAGUGUUUAAAAGAGUUAAUUACAAGCUAUCAAAUAGCACUUUUUGAGUAGUAAUAAAAAACCUAGAGUCAUUCAUAUCUUUCAUAGCCCUGAGCAGUUCAUAGCAUCUAGAGGCUUGAGCUCAUGACACAGAAUCAUUCAUAUCAUUCAUGACCCUUAAACAGUUCAUAACAUCAAGAGGUUUGAGCUAAUGGGAUCUCAAGUCGUACUUAUAAUCAACAACUCUGAGCUGUUCAUAGAAUCUAGAGCCCAAAGAUCAUGACCCAGAGUAAAGCAUGUGUUAUUCAUAACAUUUAGAGCCUUGAGCUCAUGACCUAGAUUCAUUCAUGUUGUCCAUAACCAUGAGUUGUUUAUAGUAUCAAGAGCGAAGAGUUCACGACCUAGACUCUUUCAUGUCAUCAACUACUCAUACCUAUGUAUAGCUUGUAGAGCCCUAAGCUCAUGACCCAAAGUCUUUCAUGUCAUCGACAACCUUAAGCUGUGCAUAGCAUCGAGAGCCUUGAACUCACGACUCAAAGUCUUUCAAGUCAACCAUAACCUUGAGUUGUUCAUAGAAUCUAUAAACCUAUUUCACCAUAUACUAGGGUAGCAUUAGCUAGCAUAGCAUAGUGGCUCUAGGAUCGUCCACAGGGAUGGGUGAUUCGUUCCCAAUUGGUGUCUCAGCUGAUUCAUGUCCAGCUGGUGCUCUUUGAUUGAGAGAGUAAUCAACAAAAUUUAUAACCUAUAUCACCAUGCAUUAGGAUAGCUUUAGCUAAUAUAACAUAGUGGCUCUAGGAUUGUUCUUUGGGAAGGGUUUUCAACUCACAACUGAUACCAAUUCAAAUUUAAAUUGGUGCUUUUUUUUCAUUUCAAGGUUAGCUUAAGAAAUAAAACACAAACUUUGGUUAAACGAGGUUUUGUUUCAAGCUAACUAAAAAGAAAGUAAUGGAAAUUACUUAUGAAGAAGAACAUUCCUUGGAGGUUUGGGUUCACAGGGGAGGUUCCUCAUGCAAAAACAGAGCUCCGGUCAUUUGGUUCAUUUUCUCGCAUUAGAGAAUUAACAGAUAAUCAAUUCUCUAACCGGUGUUGUACAGAUGUAUCCUUUAAAUGGAUUUCAACUCUAAUUCCCUCUCACUGAUGCAACUUGCAAUGGCUCGUGCCUCUCACCUAGCAUUUGCCAUUCAAGGUGAUCUUUAACUUUGGACUUCCCUUCUCAAGCUCGCAAGAGAUAACUAAUGGAUGUCUCCUUGGAGUCCAAAAGCUUACCAAGUGUUGGCAAUUCUAGAAAAUCCUACCUUCAAGUCACUUCCCAAAAGCUCGCAAGAGGUAAACUAGUGCAUCUCCAUGGACGAAGAUCACUUGCCUUACCAAGUGUUGGCUCAAGUAAAUUGAAGGUGUUUUAAGUUAACUAAAAAAACUAGAAAUCAUUAAAGGAUCACACUUUUUCUUCAUUAAUGGCUGAAACCACAAAGCUAUAAAUUUUUGCACUUGGAACCUUUCCCGGCAACCUUAGCUCCAAGGAACUAAAAGUCUAGCCACUCAUUCUCUGAGGAUACUUCCUCAGAGCUUGUUUGGCUAGUAAGAAAAAUUAAAUGAAUAUAAACAAUCAAAACAAGUAGGUAAGGUAGAGCAAAGGCUUUGUAUUUUACUUCCUUCCAAAACUGUAAAAAAAAGAUCAUUCGUCUCAGAACAAGCUCCCCCUUUAAAUAUGGGUUUAUUUACCCUUUGUUUUUACUUAAAGACUAAGGAAUCCUAUGAUAGGUGGGUUACAAGGAGACUUUGGGGAUUUAGACAUCAAAUAUCUAAAGAAAAAUAUCUCAAAAUGUCGGUCGCACAUAUCGGGAAGCUUCAGGAGAACACCACGACACUGUGCAAAAUGGCUGUGAAACUCUCCGGGUAAGCGCUAUCAAAGGAUCUGGAUAUGUCUGACCGGGGAAGUUGAAACGCCCUCCUUUCCCAUCCGGCGUUAGGCGCCGGAUGCGAAAUAUCCGGAGAAGGUGGAACGUCGGCUGGACAGAAUUUCGGAUGUGAGAUAUCUGGAGAAGGUGGAACAUCGCAAGGGGGACUGUCUGCGUGGGCAUGGUGUAGGGACCCCUCCCCCUGAUGACACGGAGCGUGCAUCGCUAUCCAGAGCAACUCCAUCCGGAUUCCCUAAGAGGACACGUGAUGGGCUCCCCUAUUCGGACUCCCUUAGGGAGAAGCACACGACACUCGCGAACAUCACACCCCGUACGAUAGCAUAUCCUAUCUGGAUAUGUUGUCCGGAUCAUUGACUAAAGUGCACAAGCCUUGCUACGUCAUUCCGACAGCCUGCCACAGCCCAUGUUCCGUCGCCCUCCGAUGGUGUGUCCGGACGCCCUGUCCGGACAUUUUUUGGAGGGAAGACUGAACCAGAACUCAAUCUGGGUUGAAAGCAUGCGUCCACUUGGCAGCUACGUGGAUCUAGGACGCAAGGCAUCAACACAAGAGAGAGAGAGCCACGUGGCAUUUUUUAGGGAGGAUCCCAUACUCCUUGCAUUCCGGAUUUGCUUAUGGCAAAGGACUUCAAAGCUUCGGUUCUUCAUGUUUCUGAGCUUUCCAUUGCUUUGCCAUGGAUUCCAAAUAACUCUCCUCAAUCUUGGAUUGCUUUGGUGAUCAAAAAGCUAUCAAAACACCAAAACUUAACACAAUUUGAUUAGAAUUAAUUGCAAGGGUCCUUAAUAUGUUAAUUGGGUUAAAAGGUGAUAACUACUACUCAAAAGUGUUUAAAAGAGUUUAUUACAAGCUAUGAAAUAGCACUUUUUGAGUAGUAAUCAAUGGGUUUUCAAAUUACAACUGAUAUUAGUUCAAAAACUGAAUUGGUGCUUUUUUUUUUCAAGGUUAUCUUUAAAAGAAAACAUAAGUAUGUAUGAAAAGGUUGGUUUUAAGUGAAAUUAUAAAUUAAGUAACUGAAAUUACUUACAAAGGAAAGUGCUUCUUGGAGUUUUAGAUCACUAGGCUUGGGUUCCUUAUACAAAAAGAGGAGAGUCCGUUGAUUACUACUCAAAAAGUGUUAUUUCAUAGCUUGUAAUUAACUCUUUUAAACACUUUUGAGUAUUAGUUAUUACCUUUUAACCCAAUUGGCAUGUUAAGGACCCUUGCAAUCAUUUCUAAUCAAAUUGUGUAAGUUUUGGUGUUUUUUGUUAGUAAUUUGAUCACCAAAGCAAUCCAAGGUUGAGGAGAGUUCUUUGGAAUCCAUGGCAAAGCAAUGGAAAGCUCAGAAACAUGAAGAACCGAAGCUUAGAAGUCCUUUGCCAUAAUCAAAUUCGGAAUGCAAGGAGUAUGGCGUCCGGACACACCAUCGGAGGGCUAUAGAACGUGGGCUGUGGCAGGCUGUCAGAAUGACGUAGCAAGGCUUGUGCACUUUAGUCAAUGAUCCAGACAACAUAUCCGGAUAGGAUAUGCUAUCGUUUAGGUGUGAUGAUCGCGAGUGCCGCGUGCUUCUCCCUGUGGGAGUCCGGAUAGCGGAGCGCGCCGCGUGUCCUCUUGGGGAAUCCGGAUGGAGUUGCUCCGGAUAGCAAUGCGCGCUCCGUGUCAUCAGGGGGAGGGGUCCCUACACCAUGCACACGCAGACGGUCACCCUUGCGACGUUCCAUCUUCUCUGGAUAUCCCAUAUCCGGAAUUCUGUCUGGGUGACGUUCCACCUUCUCCGGAUAUUUCACAUCCGACGCCUGACGCCGGAUGGGAAAGGAAGGCGUUUCAACUUCCCCAAUCAGACAUACCCGGAUCCUCCGAUAGCGCUUACUCGGAGAGUUUCGCAGCCAUUUUGCACAGUGCUGAUAGCGCUUGCCCGGAGAGUUUCGCAGCCAUUUUGCACAGUGCCGCGGUGUUCUCCUGAAGCUUCCUGAUAUGUGUGACCGACUUUUUGUGAUAUUUUGCUUUAGAUAUUUGAUGUCUAAAUUCCUGAUAUGUGCGACCGAAAUUUUGAGAUAUUUUUCUUUAGAUAUUUGAUGUCUAAAUCCCCAAACUCUCCUUGUAACCCACCUAUCAUAGGAUUCCUUAGUCUUUAAGUAAGAACAAAGGGUGAAUAACCCCUUAUAUAUAGUUUGUAAUCUUCUUUAGAAAAAUCAUGUAAUCUGGGGAGCUUGUUCUCAGGAUGUAAUCUCGGGAGCUUGUUCUUAGAGACGCAUCCUUUGUACAGUUUUGGGAAGGAAGUAAAAUACAGAGCACUUGCUCUACUUUUCAUAUAUAUUUUUGUUUUCUCGUUUUUUUAUUUCUAGUCAAUCAAACUCUGAGGAUUUUUCCUCAGAGGAUGAGAGGCUAGGCUCUUUGUCUCUUGGAGUGAAGAAAGCCGGGUAAGUUUCCAAAUGCAUAAAUUGGAAGUUUUGUUAUUUUAGUUUUUAAUGAAGAGAAAGUGUGACCCGUUAAUGGUUUUUAUCUUUUUAGUUAACUUAAAACGCCUUUAAAUCACUUGGGCCAACACUGGGUAAGGCAAGUGAUCUCCAUCCAUUGAGAUGCACUAGUUUACCUCUUGCGAGCCUUUGGGAGGUGGUUUAAAGGUAGGAUUUUCUAGAAUAGCCAGCACUUGGUAAGCUUUUGGACUCCAAGGAGACAUCUAUUAGUUAUCUCUUGCGAGCUUUUGACGGGUAAUCCAAGGUUAAAGAUCACCUUGAAUGGCAAAUGCUAGGUGAGAGGCACGAGCCAUUGCAAGAUGCAUCAGUGAGAGGGAUUUAGUGUUUGAACCCAUUAAAGUACCACACCGGUUAGAGAAUUAACUAUAUGUUAAUUCUCUAAUGCGAGGAAAAGAAACAAGUGACCGGAACUCUCCUUUUUGUACAAGGAACUUGAGCCUAGUGAUCUAAACUCCAAGAAACACUUUUCUUUGUAAGUAAAAUCAGUUACUAUUUUUGGUUAGUUUAAAACCAAACCUUUUUCAUUCAAACAUCUUUAUGUUUUCUUUUAAAGCUAACCUUGAAAUGAAAAGACACCAAUUCAUCUUUGAAUUAAUAUCAAUUGUGAAGUGAAAACCCAUCCCAGUGAACGAUCCUAGAGCCACUAUGCUAUAGUAGCUUUGUCUUUGCUACCCUAGUUCAUGGUGUAAUAGGUUAUAAAUUUUGUUGAUUACUCCCUGAGGACCAAAAUCAAGGGACACCAGUUGGACAUGAAUCAACUGAUACACCAAGUGGGAACGAAUCAUCCGUUCACUUGGAUCUUUUCCUCGCAUUGGGGAUUUAACAUGUAGUUAUUUCCCGAACCGGUGUGGUACAUAUGCUUCCCCUUAAAGGCUUCAUACACUAAAUCCCUGUCACUGAAUCAUUUUGCAAUGGUUCGUACCUCUCACCUAGUAUUGGUCAUUCAAGGUGAUCCUUAACCUUGGAUUACCCAUCAAAAGCUCAUAAGAGAUAACUAAUGGAAGUCUCCUGGGAGUCUAAAAGCUUACCAAGUGUUGGCUAUUCUAGAUAAUCCUACUUUUAGACCACCUCCUAGAGGCUCGCAAGAGAUAAACUAGUAGAUCUCAAUGGACGAAGUCCACUUGCCUUACCAAGUGUUGGCCCAGGUGAUUUUAAGGGAUUUUAAGUUAACUAAAAAGAUAAAAACCAUUGAUGGGUCACACUUUCUCUUCAUUAAAAACUGAAACAACGCAACUUCCAUUUUUGUAUUCGGAACCUUACCUAGCCUCCUUCACUCCAAGAAACAAAAAACCUAGCUACUCAUCCUCUAGGAAAACAUCCUCAGAGUUUGAUUUGCUAGAAAUAAAAAUAAAAGAGAAAACAAAAUGAGUAGGUAAGGCAGAGCAGAGCUCUAUGUAUUACUCUCUGAAAAACUAUACAAAAGUUCGUCUUUGAGAAAAACUCCCGAGAUAUCCUUUUUAAAAGAAAAUUACAAUAGAUAUUAUAUAGAGAGGCUAUUCACCCCUCUUGCUAACUUCCCAACCAAGAAAACUCGUCAUUGGUGGGUUAUAAGGAGAAAAUAGGGAUUUACACACAAAUAUCUGAAGAUAAAUAUCAAACAGAGUCGAUGCACAAAUAUCUCAGAUUAUAGGUGGAUUUUGCAAGUUGAAAUUGUCCAUUUCAGAAGUUACGAAAUUGUCCUGCAACUUAUCAGCUCUCUAUCCUGCAGUGAUUCCUUUCCUCUUCCUAUUUCGCAAGUUGGAUUCCACAACUUGCGAAAUUGUUGGAUGAUUGAUUUCUUCUAUGAUUUUCUUGCUUGCAUCCUCGUUUGGCUUUGGCAAAGGGUUAUGAAGCUCCAAAGCUUAGUUUCUUCAUGAAUUUGAGCUUCAACUUGCUUUGCCAUGAACUAUACAAAGAUCUCCCUCAUUCUUGGAUUGCUUUGGUGAUAAAAAAGCUAUCAAAAACACCAAAACUUAACACAAUUUGAUUAGAAAUUAUUGCAAGGGUCCUUAGCAUGCCAAUUGAGUUAAAAGGUAAUAACUACUACUCAAAAGUGUUUAAAAGAGUUAAUUACAGGCUAUAAAAUAGCACUUUUUGAGUAGUAAUCACUCCCCCCUACCAACAUAUUGCUAGUCCCUUAACAAUGAAAUAGAGAAAAAUAAAAUUAAACAGUACUAUAAUUUACAACAUCCUGCUGAUCACUCCAAAAAAUUUCAAGUGGCUUGAUGAUUAAACUCUCACAUGGAGGAUUAAAGAUAUAAAACUCAAACUUCAACAAGAGUUAUAAAAUAACUUGCCUAAUCAUAAUUCAUAAAGAAAAUGCAUUAUGCAAAUUUAAGCUUUAAAAUAAUUUCCACUCCCAAAGGGUUAAUCCUUACUCUUCCACAAAAAUCUAAGUGUUACUUAUUAGUUUUCGAAUAUAAUAUGUUGAACUAAUCUAUCCUCCCAACCUAGUUCUUUUUCAAACCUUAGCAAACUGACAACCUCUAAUAGGCUAAGAACACACCUCAUUUAUUUCACACUCUUUUUGUUUUUUGUAGGAGUACAAUGCUUAAAGGUAUUCUUUUCUAAAUUGUCCAUGUAAUAGGGGUCCAUCGAUGACUCCUAACUAAUUAAGGUUUAGGGCAUCAAGCUUCAAGGAUCUUUCGACCACUAACUCCUCAGAUUUUACCCCAGACUUUUGAGAUUGGAAUUCAAUACCCAAGCACCUACAGUAUGUUAAACUUCACCUAUUCACCCUUGUAACGAGCAUUGAGGUCAGUGACUCCCAACCAAUGAAGGCUUAGGGCCCCAGGUUUUAAAGAUUUUCACCAUAUACCCCUCAAACCUUGCUCGGGUUUCAAUGCAAGUAAAACAUCAAAGGCUCAUUGGCCUUUUCUAAGGUGUCCCAACACUAUUAAAAUGAGGUCAAAGGUACCAAGUCUAAAAUUUCCUAAGUCAAGGGGUGAAAUAGUUUUUCAUCUUAUAAUCGGAACCUAGUGUGCACAGUGUGUGGUAAGCUUAAAGUGGAUGAAAUAAGGUUGAAUUCAAUAGAAGUUUCAAAAAUUCAUCAACUUUAAUAAGCAUAAUACAAACUUUAAGUCAAGUAAAAAGACGAAAAUUCAAUUUCUCCCAUUUCAUUUUGAGAAUUUUUCCUUGAUCACCAUGAAGAGUAUUAAAAAAAAAUUAAAUUUAAACAAUAAGUAACUAAAUUAUCAUUUAUAACCUAGCAUUAUAAACAAUACUUUCUUUCUCAACUCUCCCCAUCCAUGUUGAACAUUACCCUCAAUGUUUGAAGAGCAAUUGAAAAUAAAAGGAGGAAGUGAUACCUCCUAAGUGGAAUAGAGUCUGAAUUGUAUAGGAGAAACCACAUGAUUCAAAAAACAAUAAAAGAAAAAAAUGUGUAGAGGAAUAAAAAAUGCCAAGUAUAGUAAAAAAUGAUGGAUAUGUAUUACUUUAAGAAAGUACAAUAUGAAAUAUGCACAAGUAAUACGUCCAAUCCCAGUAUAUAAAGCAUAAAAAACAUGGGAUUAAGAAUUCUACUAUAAUAAGUAAAUACAAAAAGUAGAUAGAUGAUUAGGUAGUGGUGAGAGGAUCAUGUGGAGACGAUGGCUCUAUUGUGGUCUCCUGAGUGCUCUAGAUCGGAGUCUAGACCUCUGAUGUAGUGUCUCCUCAUGAGACAUAGUCUGUUUUGCUGGAGUAGCCUCCUCAGAUGGAGAUGUAGCCUCUAAUGGGCCAGGCAUAUCAUGUCCAGGUGGUGGCAGAAUACCCAAAUUUUGCUAUAUCUGUCUAAGGAUGGUAGUAUGCUGGGUUUGCAUGGCAAUAAGCUGAUCUUGAUGUGUAUGUAUGGCUGCCAUCUACUGGAAGAGAACACCUUGAGUGGUGCUCAAUGUUUGCAAUGUAUGACAUAGGUCUUUAAACUCUGAACUGGAUAUGGUGAUAGAGGACUCAGAUGGAGGAGGUGCUGAUGUAGCUGGUACAACUGGUGGAGCUUCAGGAGUGGUAGGAGGAGCAAAAGAUGUAGCCUCAGGCAUGGGCACCGUAGGAGGUGUUGUAGGAGCAGGUGGUAUGAUCUCUAUAGGUAUCUCAGCCUACUGUGCCUGUUGUGCCUGUGGUGGCUGCUCAUCCCUUGGUGGCUUCGGAGGUGCUGGCAUAUCUGGGGCUACUAGAGAUGCAACAUAGGUCGUCAAAUGAUUCCAUUUGUCGAGAGUGAAUAGCUCUCGAAAAAUGCGGUGACGCUCAAUCUGAGGCUCAGAAGGAUAGCCCAAAUGCUCUAAUAUUUGACAGAGCAGCUUGGAAAAAAGUAAUGGAAUGGCAUCUACUCUCUGGAACUUCUUCCUAUGGACCUUCUCUUCAAAGUGGAGAAGAGAGGUCAUAAUCAAAUGAUGAAGGCCAAAGUAGAAACCCUCUGAUAUUCAGAAUAAAGCCUCCAAUAUAGCUCCUCUCCUCUGCACCAUAUGCUGAAGUGGAAAUAUGUUGGAGUGCAGCACCACAUCUAGAAGGAGCAUCCCAGGUGGAAGCUACUUCCUAAGAAGAAAUGAGCGUGUAGAGGUCCCCCUGGACAAUAUACGGACCAUGUCCCUCUGAGAAAAAUGAGACCACUCUCUAAAAUCUGCUGGACUCACAGGCUCAUAUGGAAUGUGCAGGGCCUAUGCAAUGUGCCUAGCUCCAAGGAUACCAUGGCGUCCAUCAAUAGUAAAGUGGAUGACAAUAGGAUCCCGGAUGCAACGAGUAGUCAUAGACUGAUAAAAGUCUAGUGCUACUCUAGGAUAGAAGAAGUCUCUAAGAGUCAUCAGGUGCUCCAAAUGGUAUCUCUGUGAUUACUACUCAAAAAGUGCUAUUUCAUAGCUUGUAAUUAACUCUUUUAAACACUUUUGAGUAGUAGUUAUCACCUUUUAACUUAAUUAACAUAUUAAGGACCCUUGCAAUCAAUUCUAAUCAAAUUGUGUUAAGUUUUGGUGUUUUGAUAGCUUUUUGAUCACCUAAGAAAUCCGAGAUUGAGGAGAGUUCUUUGGAAUCCAUGGCAAAGCAAUGGAAAGCUUAGAAACAUGAAGAACCGAAGCUUUGAAGUCCUUUGCCAUAAGCAAAUCCGGACACACCAUCGAAGGGCGGCGAAACGUGGGCUGUGGCAGGCUGUCGGAAUGACGUAGCAAGGCUUGUACACUUUAGUCAAUGAUCCGAACAACAUAUUCGGAUAGGAUAUGCUAUCGUCCGGGGUGUGAUGAUCGUGAGUGCCAUGUGCUUCUCCUUGAGGGAGUCCGGAUAGGGAAGCGCGCCACGUGUCCUCUUGGGGAAUCCAGAUGGAGUUGCUCCGGAUAGCGAUGCCCGCUCCGUGUCAUCAAGGGGAGGGGUCCCUACACCUUCUCCGGAUAUCUCACAUCCGAAAUUCGGUUCCGCUUGCGACGUUCCACCAUCUCCGGAUAUUUCACAUCCGACACCUGACGCCGGAUGGGAAAGGAGGGCAUUUCAACUUUCCCGGUCAGACAUAUCCGGAUCCUCUGAUAGCGCUUACCCGGAGAGUUUCGCAGCCAUUUUGCACAGUGCCGUGGUUUUCUCCUAAAGCUUCCCGAUAUGUGCGACCGACAUUUUGAGAUUUUUUGCUUUAGAUAUUUGAUGUCUAAAUCCCCAAACUCUCCUUGUAACCCACCUAUCAUAGGAUUCCUUAGUCUUUAAGUAAGAACAAAGGGUGAAUAACCUCUUAUAUAUAGUUUGUAAUUUCCUUUACAUAAAAGGAUGAUAUAAGAGAGGCGGGAGCUUGUUCUCAGAGACACAUCCUUUGUAUAGUUUUGGAAGGAAGUAAAAUACAGAGCACUUGCUCUGCUUUUCAUUUAUAUUUUUGUUUUCUCGUUCUUUUUAUUUCUAGCCAAUCAAACUCUGAGGAUUUUUCCUCAGAGGAUAAGAGGCUAGGCUCUUUGUCUCUUGGAGUGAAGAAAACCGGGUAAGUUUCCAAAUGCAUAAAUUGGAAGUUUUGUUGUUUUAGUUUUUAAUGAAGAGAAAGUGUGACCUGUUAAUGGUUUUUAUCUUUUUAGUUAACUUAAAACGCCUUUAAAUCACCUGGGCCAAACCUUGGUAAGGCAAGUGAUCUCCGUCCAUUGAGAUGCACUAGUUUAUCUCUUGCGAGCCUUUGGGAGGUGGUUUGAAGGUAGGAUUUUCUAGAAUAGCCAACACUUGGUAAGCUUUUGGACUCUAAGGAGACAUCCAUUAGUUAUCUCUUGCGAGCUUUUGACGGGUAAUCCAAGGUUAAGGAUCACCUUGAAUGGUAAAUGCUAGGUGAGAGGCAUGAGCCAUUGCAAGAUGCAUCAGUGAGAGGGAUUUAGUGUUUGAACCCAUUAAUGGGAAGCAUCUAUACCACACCGGUUAGAGAAUUAACUAUAUGUUAAUUCUCUAAUGCGAGGAAAAGAAACAAGUGACCAGAACUCCUUUUUUGUACAAGGAACCUGAGCCUAGUGAUCUGAAACUCCAAGAAACACUUUUCUUUGUAAGUAAAAUCAGUUACUAUUUUUGGUUAGUUUAAAACCAAACAUUUUUCAUUUAAACAUCUUUAUGUUUUCUUUUAAAGCUAACCUUGAAAUGAAAAGACACCAAUUCAGCCCUUGAAUUAAUAUCAAUUGUGAAGUGAAAACCCAUCCCAGUGAACGACCCUAGAGCCACUAUGCUAUGCUAGCUAAGGCUAUCCUAGUACAUGGUGUAAUAGGUUAUAAAUUUUGUUGAUUACUUCCUUCUGAGGACCACAAUCAAGGGACACCAGCUGGACACGUAUCAAAUGGCACCAUUGUCAGGGGCCAUUGAGAGGACAUGAAUCAGCUGAGACACCAAUUGGGAACGAAUCACUUUCUUCAGUACUUCCCCGGAUUCUACCCUUUUCUGGUAUUGUCCCAGAUUCUACCUUUCCUGGUACUCGGUCGGAUUGUAUGUCGGUACUCUCCCGGAUUCUACCUUUCUCCAAAACUCGCCCGAAUUCAAUCUUUCUUGGUACUCGCUCGCACCUUUUUUCCGUACUCGCAUGGAUUCUACCCUUCUUCGGUACUCGCAUGGAUGCUACCCUUCUCCGGUACUGGCCCGAAUUCUACCAUUCUCCGUUACUCGCCUGGAUACUACUUCUCCCAGUACUCGCCCGGACCCUUUUUCGGUAUUCGUAUGGAGUCUACCCUUCUCCGGUACUCGCACGGACUUUACCCUUCUCCGGUACUAUCUCGUAUUCAACCAUUCUCCGAUACUAGCCCGUAUUCAACCAUUCUCCGGUACUCGCCUGGAUACUUCCUUUCCCGGUACUUGUCUGGACCCUUUUUCGGUACUUGCCCGAAUUCUACCCUUCUCUGGCACUCGCCUAGAUUCUAUCUUUCCCGGAACUCGCCUAGACCCUUUUCUGGUACUCGCUUAGAUACUACCUUUCCCAAUACUCGCUCGGACCCUUUUUCGGUACUCGCCCGGAUUCUACCGUUCUCCGGUACUCGCCCAGAUUCUACCCUUCUUCGCUACUCGCCUGGAUUCAACCUUUCCUGGUACUCGCCCGGACCCUUUUUCGGUACUUGCACGGAUUCUACCCUUCUCCGGUACUUGCUCGAAUUCUACCAUUCUAUGUUACUAGCCUGGAUACUCCCUCGGAUUCUACCCUUUUCCGAUUUUGUCCCGGAUUCUACCUUUCCCGGUACUCACCCGGACCGUUUUUCGGUACUCUCCUGGAUUCUACCAUUCUCCAAUACUCGCCUGAAUUCAACCUUUCUCGAUACUCGUCCACACCCUUUUUCGGUACUCGCACGAAUUCUACCCUUCUCUGGUACUUGCAUGGAUGCUACCCUUCUCCGGUACUCGCCUGGACAAUACCUUUCCCUGUACUAGCCUAGACCCUUUUUCGAUACUCGCUCGGAUUCUACCAUUCUCCGGUACUCGCACGGAUUCUACCAUUUUCCAGUACUUGCCCGAAUUCUACCAUUCUCCGGUACUCACCUGGAUUCAACUCUUCUCGGUACUCGCUUGAACCCUUUUUCGGUACUCGUACGGAUUCUACCCUUCUUCGAUAGUUGCACGGAUUCUACCUUUCUCCUGUACUCGCCCGAAUUCCCUUCUCCGGUACUGGCCUGGAUACUACCUUUCCCAGUACUCUCUCGGACCCAUUUUCGGUACUCGCCCGGAUUCUACCCUUUUUCGGUACUCGCACGGAUUCUACCAUUCUCUAAUACUCGUCUGUAUUCUACCUUUCCCAGUACUCACUCGGACCCUUUUGCGGUACUCGCCCCGAUUCUACCCUUUGUCGGUACUCGUCGGGUUCUACCUUUCUUAGGUACUUGCCCGGAUUCUACCCUUCUCCGGUACUCGCCCGUAUUCUACCAUUAUCCGGUACUCGCCUUGAUUCUUCCUUUCCCGGUACUUGCCCAUACCCUUUUUCGAUACUCGCACGAAUUCUACCCUUCUCCAGUACUCGCCCAGAUUCUACCCUUCUCCGGUACUGGCCCUAAUUCUACCAUUCUCCGGUACUCGCCUGGAUACUACCUUCCCCAAUACUCGCCCGGACCCCUUUUCGGUACUCGCCCGGAUUCUACCAUUUUUCCGUAUUCUCACGGAUUCUACCCUUCUCCGGUACUGGACCAAAUUUUACCAUUCUCUAGUACUCGCUUGGAUACUACCCUUCCUGGUACUCGCUCAAACCCUUUUUUGGUACUCGCCCGGAUUCUACCAUUCUCCGGUACUCUCACGGAUUCUACCCUUCUCUGCUACACGCUUGGAUUCAACCUUUCCCGAUACUCGCCCGGACCCUUUUUCGGUACACGCAUGGAUUCUAUCCUUCUCCGGUACUCGUAUGGAUGCUACCCUUCUCCGGUGCUCACCUGGAUUCAACCUUUCUCGAUACUCGCCCGAACCCUUGUUCGGUACUCGCACAGAUUCUACCAUUCUCCGGUACUCACCCGAAUUCUACCAUUCUCUUGUAUUGGCACAGAUUCUACCAUUCUUCGGUACUCGCCUGGACCUUUCUCGGUACUCGCUUGGAUUCUACCAUUUUCUGGUAGUCGACCGGAUUCUACCCUUCUCCCGUACUGGCCCUGAUUCUACCAUUCUUCGGUACUUGCUUGGAUACUUUCUUUCCCGCUACUCGCCCGAACCCUUGUUCGGUACUCGCACAGAUUCUACCGUUCUCCGCUACUCGCUCGGAUUCUACUAUUCGCCGGUACUCACCCGGAUUCUACCCUUCUUCGGUACUUCUCCGGAUUCUACCCUUCUCCGGUACUCGCCCGGUUUCUACCCUUCUCCGGUACUCGUUGGGAUUCUACCUUUCCCAUGACUCGCCCAGACCCUUUUUCGGUACUCACACGGAUUCUACCAUUCUUCGGUACUCGCUUGGAUUCUACACUUCUCCGGUACUCGCCUGGAUACCACAUUUCCCUGUACUCGCCCGGACCCUUUUUCGAUACUCGCUCGGAUUCUACCCUUCUCCGAUACUCGCAAGGAUUCUACCCUUCUCUAGUACUUGCCCGAAUUCUACCAUUUUCCGGUACUCACCUGGAUUCAACUCUUCUCGGUACUCGCCUGGACCCAUUAUCGGUACUCGCACGGAUUCUACCCUUCUCCGAUAGUUGCAUGGAUUCUACCUUUCUCCUAUACUCGCCCGAAUUCUACCCUUCUCCGGUACUGGCCUGGAUACUACCUUUCCCGGUACUCUCCCGAACCCUUUUUUGGUACUCGCCUGGAUUCUACCCUUCUCCGGUAAUGGCCCGAAUUCUACCAUUCUACGUUAGUCGCCUGGAUAAUACUACCUCUCCCAGUACUUGCCUGGACCCUUUUUCACUACUCACCCGGAUUCUACCCUUCUCCGGUACUCGCCAGAAUUCUACCCUUCUCCGGUACUCGUCUGUAUUCUACCUUUCCCGGUACUCGCCCGGACCCUUUUGUAAUACUCACCCCGAUUCUACCAUUCUUUGGUACUUUCCCAGAUUCUACCCUUCUCCAGUACUCGUCGGGUUCUACCUUUCUUCGGUACUUGCCCGGAUUCUACCCUUCUCCAGUACUCGCCCGUAUUCUACCAUUCUCCGGUACUCGCCUGGAUUCUUCCUUUCCCGGUACUUGCCCAGACCCUUUUUCGGUACUCGCCCGGAUUCUACCCUUCUUUAGUACUCGCCCGGAUUCUACCCUUCUCUAGUACUCGCCCGAAUUCUACCCUUCUCCGGUACUAGCCCCGAAUUCUACCAUUCUCCGGUACUCGCUUGGAUACUACCUUCCCCAGUACUCACCCGGACCCCUUUUCGGUACUUGCCCGGAUUCUACCAUUCUUUGUUACUCGCACAAAUUCUACACUUCUCCGGUACUGGACCGAAUUCUACCAUUCUCCGGUACUCGCCUGGAUACUACCUUUCUCGGUACUCGCUCGAACCCUUUUUUGGUACUCGAUCGGAUUCUACCUUUCCCGGUACUCGCUCAAACCCUUUUUUGGUACUCGAUCGGAUUCUACCUUUCUCCGGUACUCGCAUGGAUUCUACCCUUCUCUGGUACUCGUCUGUAUUCUACCUUUCCCAGUACUCGCCCGGACCCCUUUGCGGUACUCGUACCGAUUCGACCCUUCAUUUGUACUCGUUGGGCUCUACCUUUUUUCGGUACUUGCCCGNNNNNNNNNNNNNNNNNNNNNNNNNNNNNNNNNNNNNNNNNNNNNNNNNNNNNNNNNNNNNNNNNNNNNNNNNNNNNNNNNNNNNNNNNNNNNNNNNNNNCCUUUCUCGGUACUCGCCAGUAUUCUACCCUUGUUCGGUACUCGCCCGUAUUCUACCAUUCUCCGGUACUCGCCUUGAUUCAUCCUUUCCCGGUACUUGCCCAUACCCUUUUUCGGUACUCGCACGAAUUCUACCAUUCUCCAGUACUCGCCCGGAUUCUACCCUUCUUCGGUACUGGCCCUAAUUCUACCAUUCUCCGGUACUCGCCUGGAUACUACCUUCCCCAGUACUCUCCCGGACCCCUUUUCGAUACUCGCCCGGAUUCUACCAUUUUUUGGUAUUCGCACGGAUUCUACCCUUCUUUGGUACUCGCACGGAUUCUACCCUUCUCCGGUAUUGGACUGAAUUCUACCAUUCUCCAGUACUCGCUUGGAUACUACAUUUCUCGGUACUCGCUCGAACCCUUUUUUGGUACUCGCUUGGAUUCUACCCUUUUUCGGUAUUCGCAUGGAUUCUACCCUUCUUUGGUACUCGCACGGAUUCUAACCUUCUCUGGUACUAGACCGAAUUCUACCAUUCUCCAGUACUCGCCUGGAUACUACCUUUCCCGGUACUCACUCGAACCCUUUUUUGGUACUCGCCCGGAUUCUACUGUUCUCUGGUACUCGCACGGAUUCUACCAUUCUCCGCUACACGCCUGGAUUCAACCUUUCCCGAUACUCGCCCGGACCCUUUUUCGGUACAUGCAUGGAUUUUAUUCUUCUCCGGUACUCGUAUGGAUGCUAGCCUUUUCCGGUGCUCACCUGGAUUCAAUAUUUCUCGGUACUCGCCCAAACCCUUGUUCGUUACUCACACGGAUUCUACCAUUGUCCGGUACUCACCCGAAUUCUACCCUUCUCUUGUACUGGCACAGAUUCUACCAUUCUUCGGUACUCACCUGGAUACUACCUUUCUCGGUACUAGCCCGGACCAUUUUUUGGUACUCGCUUGGAUUCUACCAUUCUCUGGUAGUCGACCAGAUUCUACCCUUCUCCCGUAUUGGCCUAGAUUCCACCAUUCUCCGGUACUUGCCUGGAUACUUUCUCUCCCGGUACUCGCCCGAACCCUUGUUCGGUACUCGCACGGAUUCUACCAUUCUUCGAUACUCGCCCGGAUUCUACUAUUCGCCGGUACUCACCCGGAUUCUACCCUUUUUUGGUACUUCUCCGGAUUCUACCCUUCUCCGGUACUCGCCCGGAUUCUACCCUUCUCUGGUACUCGUUGGGAUUCUACAUUUCCCAUGACUCGCCCGGACCCUUUUUUGGUACUCGCACGGAUUCUACCCUUCUUCGGUACUCGCUUGGAUUCUACCCUUCUUCGGUACUCGCCUGGAUACUACCUUUCUUCGAUACUCCCUGGGAUUCUACCCUUUUUGGGUAUUGUCCCGGAUUCUACCUCUCCCGGUACUUGCCUGGACCGUUUAUCAGUACUCUCCCGGAUUCUACCAUUCUUUAGUACUCGCCCGAAUUCAACCUUUCUCGGUACUCGCCCGCACCCUUUUUCGGUACUCGCGUGGAUUCUACCCUUCUCCGGUACUCACAUGGAUAUAUACCCUUCUCUGGUACUCGCCUGGAUACUACCUUUCCCUGUUCUCACCCGCACCUUUUUUCGGUACUUGCACGGAUUCUACCCUUCUUCGGUACUCGUCUGGAUUCUACCUUUCCCGAUACUCGCCCGGACCCUUUUUCGGUACUCGCCCCGAUUCUACCCUUCUCCGAUACUCGCCAGGAUUCUGCCCUUCUCCGAUACUCGCUGGGUUCUACCUUUCUUCGGUACUUGCCCGGAUUCUACCCUUCUCCGUUACUCGCCCAUAUUCUACCAUUCUCCAGUACUCGCCUGAAUUCUUCCUUUCCCGGUACUCGCUCGGACCCUUUUUCGGUACUUGCACGGAUUCUACCCUUCUUUAGUAUUCGCCCGGAUUCUACCCUUUUCCAAUACUAACAAGAAUUCUACCAUUCUCCGGUACUCGCCUGGAUACUACCUUUCUCAGUACUCACCCGAACCCUUUUUCGGUACUCGCCCGGAUUCUACCCUUCUUUGGUACUUGCACGGAUUCCACUAUUUUUUGGUACUCGCACGGAUUCUACCCUUCUCCGAUACUCACUCGGAUUCUACCCUUCUCCGGUACUCGCCAUGAUACUACCUUUCUUCGAUACUCCCCCGGAUUCUACCAUUUUUCGGUAUUGUCCAGGAUUCUACCUUUCCCGGUACUCGCCCGGAUCGUUUGUCGCUGCUCUCCUAGAUUCUACCCUUCUCCAAUACUCGCUCGAAUUCAACCUUUCUCGGUACUUGCCCGCACCCUUUUUCGGUACUCGCACUGAUUCUACCCUUCUCCGGUACUCGCAUGGAUGCUACCCUUCUUCGGUACUGGCCUAGAUACUACAUUUCCCUAUACUCGCCCGAACCCUUUUUCGAUACUCGCACAGAUUCUACCCUUCUUCGGUACUCGCACGGAUUCUACCCUUCUUCAGUACUUGCCCGAAUUCUACCAUUCUCCGAUACUCACCUGGAUUCAACCCUUCUCGGUACUCGCCUGGACCCUUUUUCGGUACUCGCAUGGAUUCUACCUUUCUCCGAUACUCGCACGGAUUCUACCCUUCUCCGGUACUCGCCCGAAUUCUGCCCUUCUCUGGUACUCACCUGGAUUCAACCUUUCGCGGUACUCGCCUGGACCCUUUUUCGGGCUCGCCUGGAUACUACCUUUCCCGAUACUCGCUCGAAUUCUACCCUUUUCCAAUACUUCCCCAGAUUCUACCAUUGUCCGGUACUCACCUGGAUUCUACCCUUCUCUGGUACUCUCACGGAUUCUACCCUUCUCCGGUACUGGCCCGAAUUCUACCAUUCUCCAGUACUCACCUGGAUUCAACCUUUCUCGGCACUCGCCCAGACCCUUUUUCGGUACUCGCAUGGAUUCUACCCUUUUUCGAUACUCGCAUAGAUUCUACCCUUCUCCGGUACUCGCCCGAAUUCUACCAUUUUUCGGUACUUGCCUGGAUUCAACCUUUCCCGGACCCUUUUUCGAUACUCGCACGGAUUUUACCCUUCGCCGGUAUUCACUCAAAAUCUACCCUUCUCCGGUACUUGCCCGGACCGUUUGUCGAUACUCUCCCGGAUUCUACCCUUCUCCAGUACUCGCCCGAAUUCAACCUUUCUCGGAACUCGCCUGCACCCUUUUUCGGUACUCGCAUGGAUGCUACCCUUCUCUGGUACUCGCUUGGAUACUACCUUUCCCUAUACUCGCUCGGACCAUUUUUCAAUACUCGCACGGAUUUUACCCUUUUCCGAUACUCCUUACUUUGCAAGCAACGUGGAGGAUGGCAAAGCAAAGAGAAUUUUUUCUCUUCUCAAGUCUCUGACAUGGAAAAGAAAAAAUAUUCUCCCUCUACAGACUUCAUUGCUACAGCUGUCUCUACACGUGAUGGAUUUCAAAAUUUUUCAAGAUUGAAGAUUCAAUAUAGUUUCAACUUCGACUUCAUCAUCUAUAAAUAGAGCCACAUCUCUCUUCAUCUGGCUUAGUUUCGAAUUCAAGAGAGAGCUUGAAAGAGCUGGGAAAGAGCUGAGAAAGCUUAGAGAGUGCAAAAAAUUAAGAGUUCAAAAAAUUUUCUCUUGUAAUUUUUCUCCUUCAGUCUAUUGUAUUCAUCAACUUGAGUCAUCCCUCUGCUGUCAACCAGCCUAUAUUCAUCAACUCUCUGUAAUCAAGGUAUAUUUUCAAUAAACAAAAUUUUCAGAUUCAAAUAUCUGCAUUUUUAUGUUUAAAUUUUUGCAAUAAAUUAGACAGAAUUAGACAUUAAAUAUUUCCGUUUUUAUGCUUGGAGAUCAUUAGACAUAAUUAAUUAUUGUGUGCAUGAACUGUUGUAUAUCCUGGGUGCAAAUGGUAUCAGAGCCACGUUUUGCUUAAGAAUCGAGUGGUGUUACGAGUUGGAAUAGUAAUUAAUCGCAGAUUUAGUCCUGACUUAGUUCGGGUUGAAUUUCCUGUGAACGGAUUGGUCAGCCUUUGGUAGCGGUGUUUAAGGGCAGAAGGAGCGUAAGUCCCGUGUUGAUCCGCUUGUGGUGGUCCCUGUUCAGGAAAUUAUCUGAAUUGAUUAAGGAUAAAAUUGUGAUUAUUUUCUGUGACAAUGAGUAAUAUUAUUAGGGAAUUAAGUAGAACUAGUUCUUCUAGAUCUCUUAGGUCCCAUGAUAGUUCUGCAUAUGCAUUAAAUAAUUCUGCACAUGAUUUAGAAAGAUCUUCAUAUAAGAUAAUCAGCUUUACUGCAUCAUCAACUGCAUCAUUAGCUGCAUCAUCACUUACUGCAUCAUCAUCUGCAUCAUUUUAUAGUCAUCACAUAAAAUUUAAUAUUUUAAAAUUAGAUGAAGAAAUGAGUCAAAUAGAAGAGCAACUAAAAAAUAUGUCAAACUUUGUUCUGGAAAUUCCUCUUUUUAAAGAAGAGUCUGAGUCAAUUAUUUUCUCUCAAAAUGAAUCUCCUUUAAACAUAAAUAUCGUUAGAAAAAAAAAUAUUAAAAGAAAUCCUUUUGUUCCUAAAGUAGAAUUGAUCAAAGCAAAUUAUUUUUCUCCUAAAAAUACUGCAAAAAGAAAUUAUUUUCAACAACUUCCUCCUCAAGUUAGAAAUGCUUUAAGAAAACAAUACGAAAAAUAUAUGCAACAAGUUAGGAUUACUAUUCCUUUUUUCCUUUGGUUUUUCAAAUACAGGAAACCUCUUAAAAGAAUUGCAACAUUAACCUCAAGAAAAGCAAUAGAAAAUUCUCCACAUAAUAAAAAAUUAUUAGAACAACAAAUUUCAAAUCAAGAAGAGUCAAGUGAAACAAAAUUUAUUCAAAUUUUGUUUUCUUCUGCCCCGGGAGAUUAAGUAGAGGUAGUUCUUCCAUAUCUCUUAGGUCUAAUGAUAGUUUUGCAUCUUCAUCAGAUAAUUCUGCAUAUACAUCACUUGCACAAAAUAUUGUUAUUAGUCAAUAAAUAAAUAUAGCACAAAUAGAAAAUCAAAUAAAUAAUUGGUCAAUUCCUCACAUGAAAAUUAAUACAAUAUAUCAACAAGGAAAAUUUGAAAUUAGUCAAAAUUAUUCAAUAAAAACUGAAAAAAAAAAACUAUAUCUCUUAAUCAAAAUUUAGAAAGUAUUCAAUUAUUGAGUCAAAACUCUAUUAAUCAUUAUAGGAAGAAAUUUAAUUAUAUUCAUAUAGGAUUAGUUCAAGUUGCCAUAAAACCUUUGUUCCGUUUAAGUCUAGAUAUUCCUGUUUUUGUUGGUUUAAGAGACACUAGGUCAACAAGAUUUACUGAUUCUGUCCUUAGCAUGAUUGAUUCAAACCUUGCCAAUGGUCCCGUUUAUUUUAAUUGUUUUCCAAACUUUUCCAUGAAUAUAAAUGACCCAAGUAUUAUUUCAAGUUUAACCUUAAACAUUAAAACCAAAAAUAUGAAUUUUGUAGAAGAAGCUCAAACUAUAGCAAUAAUUUAUAGGAUAUAUUAUAAAGUCAUGACAACCCAAUUAAAUCCUAGAGCUAUAUGUCAAUCUGUUAAAGAUGAAACAUUAUUAUUACAAUAUAAUCCUAAUAAUACUUAAGCUUUUGUUCCUAAAAAAUUAAAAUGGAAUGAAAUUACUCAAGGAGGUCAAUAGGAAUUAAAAGAUUUAACUCUUCCAAAACCAAUUAAACCUUUAACAACUCCUUCAAAAAUUAUACAACAUACAGAUGGUACUAUUCAAGUAGAAUUUAGUCCAGCCUCUAGAUAUGCAUUUAGUCAAGAUUUUAUAUCUGCAAGACCUUCUACUUCAAAUCCUAGUCUAAAUGAUGUUGAUUUUACUCCAAAAAUUCCUAUUCUUGUAUAUCAGCAACAAGAAUCUCCUCCUACGUCACCCACUCAUUUAGAUAUGUAUCCUAAUCAAGUCAAUAUUAUUCAUAAGAAAAAUUAUAAAAAGACUCCUUUUACUCCUAAUAUAGAAUGGAUAAAAUCAGAUUAUUUUGCUCCUUAUAAUAAUACUAAAAGAGCUUAUUUUCAAUCAUUUCCUCCUCAAACUAGAAAUGCAUUAAGAAAACAAUAUGAAAAAUAUAUGAAUCAAAAGAAAAUUACUAUUCCUUUUUUCUAUUGGUUUUUCAAACUUAAAAAACAAAGAAAACAAAUUAUAACUUUAAGAGAUAAAGAAGGACACCAAUUAGCAAUAAAACACUCAAAAAAUGUUCAAAAAAGAAUUUUAACAAUAACUUCAGAAUUAGGUUCACAACCACCCUUAAAUAAUCAUCAAUUUAAUUUUGAUAAUAAUUCAAUUUCUGCAUCACCCUUCAAAAUUCCAAGAACCAAAGAUGAACAAAGUCCCAUAAUUUACAAGGAUAUUAGACAAGUUCAACAACAAUUAAAUUAUACAAAUCAUUCUCUUCAACAUUUAAGUCAACAAACAACAAAAAUUUCUAAAUUUUUGUUUUCUUCUACCCCGGGAGAGAAGAUAGGAGAAACAGAAACAUCAAAAUCCUCAAAAUUUUCCUCAACUUUAUCAUCAUCAUCAUCAUCAUCAUCUUCUAAAUCUUUAGAACAACCUUUUAUUAUUCCUAUAAAUGCUGCAAAAUCAAAUAUUCAAUUAGCCACACCAACAAAAACAAUGUUAAAAGAAAUACAAAUUAGAUUAGAUAAACUCAAUAUUAACGGUAUUAAGAUUCAAAUUCAAACUAUAACAAAAGGAAAAUAAAAAAUAAAUAAAUUAGAAGAACAAUUCAAAAUGUCUCUUGAUUCAAUAGAAAAACCCCCUGCAACAGUCAAUGCAAUUUCUAAUAAUUUUAUAAGUAGAAAAAAUUAUUAUUCAAAACCCUCUUUUCCUGAUGUUCAAUUAGAAGAUAGAAAUUAUCAAUUAGCUGCUAGUUAUGAUGGUAAUAGUUUUUAUGAAUGGAAUAUAGAUGGAAUGAGUGAAUAUCAAAUAAUUAAUUUACUUCAUGAAAUGAUGAUGGCUGCUAAUGCUUAUAGAAUCAAGACUAGUAAUUCUGACUUUCAUUCUAUGGGUGCCUUAGUAAUAGGAUUCACUGGUUUACUUAAAGGUUGGUGGGAUCAUUAUUUGAGUCAAAAUGAUAGAGAAUACAUAUUAAAUGCAAAAAAAAGACAAUAGUUAAAGAAGAAGGAACAUCAGUCCAAUCUUAUGAAGAAGAUGUUGUCAAUACAUUAAUAUUUGCAAUAACAAAACAUUUUAUAGGAGAUCCAGUUUAUUUUCAAGAAAGAACUUCUGAAAUCCUUAAUAAUCUUAGAUGCCUAACACUUCAAGAUUUCAAGUGGUAUAAAGAUAUGUUUUUUGUCAAAGUUAUGACAAGACAUGAUUGUGGAAGUUGAUGCGACUCAUGGUAGCUUAGCUUUAAAGGCGUAUCAACAAAAUUUAUACCUUGAAUACUAUUACUAAAGUAGCCAAGCUACUACAGCAUAGUGGUUCUAGGAUCGUUCACUGGGAAGGGUUUUCGCAAACACAAGUGAUAUUCAAGUUAGGAAAAUAGGUGAUUUUCUUAUGGAUGUUAGCUUUAAAAGAAGAUGUAAAUGUUUUAGAAAGAUUUAAACUAAUCUAAGCUAACAUUAAAGACUAAAAUGAAAGGGUGUAAAAACAAGUUUCUCAAAGAUAGGAUAGCUAUGCUCUGGCUCUUAUGCAAAUUGGAAAUUUCAGGAUAGGCUCCUCGUGUUGGGGUUGCAACUAUGGUGAUGCUUGCUUCUCGAACCGGUAUGGAUUUAGCAAAUCACGUUUUAAUCCUUUAAAAUGGCAAAACAGAUGGUAGUGAAUUUCAUCAAUGGUUAUUCACCUUAGACUUCCUUUGAAUGGCUCGUAAGAGAUAACUAAUGGUCUAAAGCCAAAAGCUUACCAAAUAUUGGCAACUCAAAGUCAUUCCAGUGAUAAACUCACCUUUCNNNNNNNNNNNNNNNNNNNNNNNNNNNNNNNNNNNNNNNNNNNNNNNNNNNNNNNNNNNNNNNNNNNNNNNNNNNNNNNNNNNNNNNNNNNNNNNNNNNNNNNNNNNNNNNNNNNNNNNNNNNNNNNNNNNNNNNNNNNNNNNNNNNNNNNNNNNNNNNNNNNNNNNNNNNNNNNNNNNNNNNNNNNNNNNNNNNNNNNNNNNNNNNNNNNNNNNNNNNNNNNNNNNNNNNNNNNNNNNNNNNNNNNNNNNNNNNNNNNNNNNNNNNNNNNNNNNNNNNNNNNNNNNNNNNNNNNNNNNNNNNNNNNNNNNNNNNNNNNNNNNNNNNNNNNNNNNNNNNNNNNNNNNNNNNNNNNNNNNNNNNNNNNNNNNNNNNNNNNNNNNNNNNNNNNNNNNNNNNNNNNNNNNNNNNNNNNNNNNNNNNNNNNNNNNNNNNNNNNNNNNNNNNNNNNNNNNNNNNNNNNNNNNNNNNNNNNNNNNNNNNNNNNNNNNNNNNNNNNNNNNNNNNNNNNNNNNNNNNNNNNNNNNNNNNNNNNNNNNNNNNNNNNNNNNNNNNNNNNNNNNNNNNNNNNNNNNNNNNNNNNNNNNNNNNNNNNNNNNNNNNNNNNNNNNNNNNNNNNNNNNNNNNNNNNNNNNNNNNNNNNNNNNNNNNNNNNNNNNNNNNNNNNNNNNNNNNNNNNNNNNNNNNNNNNNNNNNNNNNNNNNNNNNNNNNNNNNNNNNNNNNNNNNNNNNNNNNNNNNNNNNNNNNNNNNNNNNNNNNNNNNNNNNNNNNNNNNNNNNNNNNNNNNNNNNNNNNNNNNNNNNNNNNNNNNNNNNNNNNNNNNNNNNNNNNNNNNNNNNNNNNNNNNNNNNNNNNNNNNNNNNNNNNNNNNNNNNNNNNNNNNNNNNNNNNNNNNNNNNNNNNNNNNNNNNNNNNNNNNNNNNNNNNNNNNNNNNNNNNNNNNNNNNNNNNNNNNNNNNNNNNNNNNNNNNNNNNNNNNNNNNNNNNNNNNNNNNNNNNNNNNNNNNNNNNNNNNNNNNNNNNNNNNNNNNNNNNNNNNNNNNNNNNNNNNNNNAUAUGAGUGGCAUGAUGGACAUCCAUGGAUCAAUAAAGAUGUGAAACUCAACCUAUAAUAAGAGUUGUCAAAGCAUUCACUUGAUCAUAGAGUACAAAGAAUGGAUAUUAUGCAAGUUUAAGCAUAAAAAGAAUUUCCACUCUCAAAAGAUCCAAAUCAAAUUCUUCCACUAAAAGCUAAGUGUUAAUGUGAUUAGCUUCCGAGUAUAGUAUGGAUAACUAUCAUCUCCCCCCAACCUAAGUCUUUCUUUAAGUUUAGCAAAAUUAACCAUCUCUUGAUAGGCUAGGAACGCACCUUUUAUUCACAAUUCUUUUUACUUACUAAACUUAACCAAUUCACCCAUGUAACAAGCAGAGGAUCGGUGACUCCCAACCAAUAAAGGCUUAGGGCACCAGGCUUAAAAGGCUUUCGCCACCCCUUCGGACCAUGCUCAGGUUUUAAGGCAAGCAAAGAAGUUUAUUCUAUUUUUUUUUUCUUUUUCUUUUUCUUUUUCUUCUUUUUUUUAUUUUUUAUUUUUCAAAGACUCAUUGGUCUUUAUGAGGUGUCCCAACACUAUUAAAGAGAGGUUAAAGGUGUCAAAUUAUGGUUUCUCAAGCUUAGAGGGUGAGAUAGUUUCACAUCUUAUAAUCGGAAUCUAAUGUAUGUGUGUGCGAAUAGCUUAAGGUGGAAGAGAUAAGUUUGCAUGCAAUGGGAGUUUCAACAAUUCAUCAACUUUUAGAAGAGCAUAAUACAAACUCUAAGACUCAUGUAAUCAAGUUGAAACUUGACUUCUCUCAUUUAAUUUUGAGAGUUAAUCCUUAAUAUCCAUGGAGUUUAAAGCAAAAAAUUUUAAAAUUUAAACAAAAAUUAGCUAAUUUAACUAAGUAUGAUAAAAAUUUAAACUAAUACUUACUUCCUCAACUCUCCCCCCAACCGAGAUGAACAUUGUCCUCAAUGUUUGAAUCGAAAAUAAGGAGGAAGGAAGUGGUACCUCAUGUGAUGUGGACUUGGAGUUGAGAAGGUUGAACCACCUGUUUCAAAAUUCAAAAAUUGAAUGAGAGAGGAAUUUAUACUAAAUAUUUACAAAAAUGAUGAGUGGGCCCCACUUUGAGCAGUUGAGGACAAGGCUCAAAGGGUCUUAGGCAUAAUGGAGCAAAGAAAUGAGACUCAGAGGCUUGGGAUUGGGGAGGGUAGGUAUGGAGAAACUGAAAUUUUCGCACAAGGGGGGUGAUGUGCGAAAUUUUCGCACAGGGGAAAAUGGUGUGCGAAAUUUUCGCAUACCUGUGAUUCUCCAAGACAGAGAGCAUGGUUUUGAAAAUUGGCGCAAAAAACGAAUUCGCACAGGGUAAGUGGUGUGCGAAAUUUUCGCACACCACAAGGGGGUGUGCGAAUUUCGCACAGGGCACUAUUCACUCGUGCAAAUGCGAAAUUGGAUUUUUUCAAAUGGCCAUAACUUCUUCGUUUCAAAUCCAAAUUGAGCACCGUUUGAAGCUAUGGACUCCUGACUUCCCAAGCUUUGAAACGACAUAUGGUAUGCACGAAAUGGACUUUGGGAAGUGCUCCAAAAGUGGCUGUCAUGACUGUCAUCAAGAAUGCUUCUUUUCGCACCAUGUACUGUCACUGUGCGAAAAAUUCGCACUGAGUGUGUUCAUGGUGCGAAAUUCCACUGAGAGCUUUGCUUAUGCAUUUUGGCUCCCUUGUUUCCUCUGUUUCACCUCCAUUUCGAUUUUUGCAAGCAUCGUACCUGCAUGAACACUUCAAAACUCAUCUUAAAAACAUAUUAAAACUAAAUUAAAGCUAAGAAUUCAAACUAAAACAUGCAUAAAUUUAAAGAAAGCAUAGAAUUUAAAUGAAGCUGAUAGCAUGUACCCCAAAAAGAAGAUGAACUAUUUAGCUCAUCCUCACUCACACACCCACUUCAUGCUGAAUUCCCCCUGGAUCCCAAACAAAAUUGGCAUCCUUCCCAUUUGGUCCAAGGGAAUUCGUUUCUCUUCUCUUCCCUGGAGAAGUGGAUGCUUUAAAGGGUUCAAGUAACCCUUUAUCAUCUUGAACUUUAUGAUUUUCAAUGGAAGAUUGGUCCAUAAAGUUGUCAUAGCAAUCCCCCACCAAAGUGUCGAUCUUCAACACUUUCCUUGAUCUUUUUGCAUUGGUUCCUUGAAGGUUAUGGUGGGGUUGAGGAGGAAGCUUCCUUUUCCCCCUUGCUAUGUCGAGAUUGGUGAGCUUCGCAAUGGAGUCUUGAACUUUUUCUAUCCUUAGUGAUAGAUCAUUAUAAACCCCCUCCAUUCUUAGAUUUAUUGAACUCUCCAUAUUAUCAAUCUUUUCAUUAAGAUGAGAGUUGAUCUUUUGUUGCUCACCUACAAAGUCCUCCAUGACUUUGCUUAUCUUCAAAAUGGCUUGCUCCAAUGAAGAUAUACUCAUUGAUGGUUGAGGUUGAGGUUGGGUUGUAAGGUUGGGAUGGUUUAUAUACUCAAAUGAAGUUGGCAUGGCUUGUGGUUGUGCUUCAGUAUGCACAUUCCUCAAUUCAAACUCUUCUAUCCUUCUAGCCAUAGAUGCUAGCUUUGCCUUCAUGCUCAUGUCUUCAUUCAAGACAUACUUACUACCCCAUUGGCUUUGUUGAACUUGCCUUUUCCCUAACUCAAUCCGAUCCCUCAUGGAUAGGUAUGCAAAUUUGUCCUUCUCAUGAUCAUAAUGAGAGCUUUGAUCUUCAUGUGGAAUUUCCAUUUCUAAAAAAAAUGAUAUUCAACUAAGCCUCUUUUCUUCAACUUGUACCAGGGUUCCCUCUUGGUCUCGAAUCCAACAAGGAAUGCACAAAUUGAAAUUAAAACAAAAAUAAAAGAAAAGAGAAUAAAAAAUUUAACUAAAUAAAAACUAAACUAAAAAAAAAAAAAAUUAUAAGAAAACUCACCAAACUUGUGAUGAAGAUCACAAGUUACCCUUAAUGGUUGCUUCACUAUGCUUGUGGCACCUUCCCCGGCAACGGCGCCAUUUGAUGCGACUCAUGGUAGCUUAGCUUUAAAGGCGUAUCAACAAAAUUUAUACCUUGAAUACUAUUACUAAAGUAGCCAAGCUACUACAGCAUAGUGGUUCUAGGAUCGUUCACUGGGAAGGGUUUUCGCAAACACAAGUGAUAUUCAAGUUAGGAAAAUAGGUGAUUUUCUUAUGGAUGUUAGCUUUAAAAGAAGAUGUAAAUGUUUUAGAAAGAUUUAAACUAAUCUAAGCUAACAUUAAAGACUAAAAUGAAAGGGUGUAAAAACAAGUUUCUCAAAGAUAGGAUAGCUAUGCUCUGGCUCUUAUGCAAAUUGGAAAUCUCAGGAUAGGCUCCUCGCGUUGGGGUUGCAACUAUGGUGAUGCUUGCUUCCCGAACCGGUAUGGAUUUAGCAAAUCACGUUUUAAUCCUUUAAAAUGGCAAAACAGAUGGUAGUGAAUUUCAUCAAUGGUUAUUCACCUUAGACUUCCUUUGAAUGCCUCGUAAGAGAUAACUAAUGGUCUAAAGCCAAAAGCUUACCAAAUAUUGGCAACUCAAAGUCAUUCCAGGUGAUAAACUCACCUUUCAAUGGCCAUUGAAAUUGGUUCUAACGGAUUAAUACAAAACUUGGAAUUGAAAACCUCACCUUCCAAUAGCUCGUAGGAGAUAACUAAUGGAUAGAAAUCCAAAAGCUUAUCAAGUAUUGGCCGUUGGAAGUUGUCCAAAGGAAAUAAAAACCAAACUUUGCAUUAAUGAACCAUUAAUGAAAAACGACUACCUUACCUUCCGGGUGCGAGAAAUUUCCAUGGGAUUGCAUCCAAGUCAUCACAUAACAUCCAUACUUUGAGAAACUAAAAGUUUUAGCCAAUCAUCCUCUGAGGAAAAGCCCUUAGAGGCUGUUUGGCUACCAAGAAAAUAAAAUAGUGAAGAGAAAAGAGAAAACGAGAGAGUGUAAAACGUAAUAUGUAAUAUAUCUAUAUGUCAAUAUAUCAAUAUAUUACAACGGAUGCAAGGGGAUAUAAAUAGAGAAGUUUUUCCAACCUUCCUAGCUAAUAAAUCUUAUGAUUGGUGGAUUACAAGGAGAAGAAUGGAAAUUUAUACAAAAAUAUCCAAAAGAAAAGAUCUCGUGUGGAGUCGGCAGAAACAGGGGAAAAUUCGCACCAGAAAUUUCCAUGGGAUUGUAUCCAAGUCAUCACAUAACAUCCAUACUUUGAGAAACUAAAAGUUUUAGCCAAUCAUCCUCUGAGGAAAAGCCCUUAGAGGCUGUUUGGCUACCAGAAAAAUAAAAUGUGCGAAAUUUUCGCACACCUGAAGAAGGUGUGCGAACUUCGCACACCAUUCGCACAGCUAAAGGGGGGUGUGCGAAAUUCUCGCACACCUGGANNNNNNNNNNNNNNNNNNNNNNNNNNNNNNNNNNNNNNNNNNNNNNNNNNNNNNNNNNNNNNNNNNNNNNNNNNNNNNNNNNNNNNNNNNNNNNNNNNNNGUGGAUUACAAGGAGAGAAUGGUAAAUUAUACAAAAAUAUUCCAAAAGAAAAGAUCUCGUGUGGAGUCGGCAGAAACAGGGGAAAAUUCGCACCAGAAAUUUCCAUGGGAUUGCAUCCAAGUCAUCACAUAACAUCCAUACUUUGAGAAACUAAAAGUUUUAGCCAAUCAUCCUCUGAGGAAAAGCCCUUAGAGGCUGUUUGGCUACCAAGAAAAUAAAAUAGUGAAGAGAAAAGAGAAAACGAGAGAGUGUAAAACGUAAUAUGUAUUAUAUAUCUAUAUGUCAAUAUAUCAAUAUAUUACAACGGAUGCAAGGGGAUAUAAAUAGAGAAGUUUUUCCAACCUUCCUAGCUAAUAAAUCUUAUGAUUGGUGGAUUACAAGGAGAAGAAUGGAAAUUUAUACAAAAAUAUCCAAAAGAAAAGAUCUCGUGUGGAGUCGGCAGAAACAGGGGAAAAUUCGCACCACGCAAGGGGUGUGCGAAAUUUUCGCACACCUGAAGAAGGUGUGCGAACUUCGCACACCAUUCGCACAGCUAAAGGGGGGUGUGCGAAAUUCUCGCACACCUGGAGCAGUUGUCUUCCAAAGGCCAUAUCUUCCUCGUUUCAGAUCCAAAUCAUACACGGUUUGAAGCGUUAGAUUCUUGACUUCCUGAGCUUUGAAAUGGUAUAUAGUAUGUAGCAAAUGGACUUCGGGAAGUGCUCCAAAAGUGCCAAAUAAGACUGCAGCUGCUGUCCUCUGUUUUCCUCUUUGCUUCUUUUUGCUUCUCUUUGCUUCUCUUUGCUUUUCUCCUUUUGUUGGCUUGCUUUGGUGUAGCUAAAAGCUUGCUUUAACUUGUCCAAGUAGCUCCUCCAUCAUUUGGCAUGCUUGAAUUGAUUCAUAAGCUGAUAUAAACAUGUAAACUUGCCACAAAAUGGUUAAAACCAAUUACUAAGGACCUUAAUGAAUUAAUUGGGUUAAAUGAAUAUGAUUACUACUCAAAGGUGCUUAAAACCAUUAUAAUUAGGUCUACAAAAUAGCACUUUUUGGUAGUUAUCAUUAUUGGAAAGAAAAAUUUAUAUCAGGUUUACCCACUGAUUACUACUCAAAAAGUGCUAUUUCAUAGCUUGUAAUUAACUCUUUUAAACACUUUUGAGUAGUAGUUAUCACCUUUUAACCCAAUUAACAUAUUAAGGACCCUUGCAAUCAAUUCUAAUCAAAUUAUGUUAAGUUUUGGUGUUUUGAUAGCUUUUUGAUCACCAAAGCAAUCCAAGAUUGAGGAGAGUUAUUUGGAAUCCAUGGCAAAGCAAUGGAAAGCUCAGAAACAUGAAGAACCGAAGCUUUGAAGUCCUUUGCCAUAAGCGAAUCCGGAAUGCAAGGAGUAUGGGACAAUGAUCCGAACAACAUAUCCGGAUAGGAUAUGCUAUCGUCCGGGUGUGUGAUGAUCGCGAGUGCCGUGUCCGGAUAGGAUAUGCUAUCGUCCGGGUGUGUGAUGUUCGCAAGUGCCGCAUGCCCGCUUGAGGAAUCCGGAUGGAGUUGAUCCGGAUAGCGAUGCCCGCUUGGGGAAUCCGGAUGGAGUUGCUCCGGAUGGGUCCCUGCACCAUGCACACGCGGACGAUCCCCGGGUGACGUUCCAUCUUCUCCGGAUAUCCCACAUCCGGAAUUCUGUCCGGGUGACGUUCCAUCUUCUCCGGAUAUUUCACAUUCGGCAGAAAUAUCCGGAUGGGAAAGGAAGGCGUUUCAAUUUUCUCGGUCAGACAUAUCCGGAUCCGCUGAUAGCGCUUACCCGGAGAAUUUCGCAGCCAUUUUGCACAGUGCCGCGGUGUUCUCCUGAAGCUUCCCGAUAUUUGCGACCGACAUUUUGAGAUAUUUUGCUUUAGAUAUUUGAUGUCUAAAUCCCCAAAAUCUCCUUGUAACCCACCUAUCAUAGGAUUCCUUAGUCUUUAAGUAAGAACAAAGGGUGAAUAACCCCUUAUAUAUAGUUUUGUAAGGAUCUUUUAUCUUUGUACAAGUUUUGGAAGGAAGUAAAAUACAGAGCCUUUACUCUACCUUACCUAUUUGUUUUGAUUGUUUAUAUUCAUUUAAUUUUUCUUACUAGCCAAACAAGCUCUGAGGGAGUAUUCUCAGAGAAUGAGUGGCUAGACUUUUAGUUCUUUGGAGCUAAGGUUGCCGGGAAAGGUUCCAAGUGCAAAAAUUUAUAGCUUUGUGGUUUCAGCCAUUAAUGAAGAGAAAGUGUGACCCGUUAAUGGUUUUUAUCUUUUUAGUUAACUUAAAACGCCUUUAAAUCAUCUGGGCCAACACUUGGUAAGGCAAGUGAUCUCCAUCCAUUGAGAUGCACUAGUUUAUCUCUUGCAAGCCUUUGGGAGGUGGUUUGAAGGUAGGAUUUUCUAGAAUAGCCAACACUUGGUAAGCUUUUGGACUCCAAGGAGACAUCCAUUAGUUAUCUCUUGCGAGCUUUUGACGGGUAAUCCAAGGUUAAAGAUCACCUUGAAUGGCAAAUGCUAGGUGAGAGGCACGAGCCAUUGCAAGAUGCAUCAGUGAGAGGGAUUUAGUGUUUGAACCUAUUAAUAGGAAGUAUCUGUACAACACCGGUUAGAGAAUUGACUAUAUGUUAAUUCUCUAAUGCGAGGAAAUGAACCAAAUGACCGGAGCUUUGUUUUUGCACGAGGAACCUCCCCUGUGAACCUAAACCUCCAAGGAAUGUUUUUCUUCAUAAGUAAUUUCCAUUACUUCCUUUGCCGUUAGCUUAAACCUAAACCUUUUUCAAUCAAAGUUUGUGUUUUAUUUCUUAAGCUAACCUUGAAAUGAAAAAGCACAAAUUCACUUUGAAUUGGUAUCAUUUAUGAAUUGAAAACCCUUCCCAAUGAACGAUCCUAGAGCCACUAUGCUAUAGUAGCUUUGUCUUUGCUACCCUAGUUCAUGGUGUAAUAGGUUAUCAAUUUUGUUGAUUACUCCCUCAAUCAAGGAGCACUAGCUGGACAUGAAUCAGUUGAUACACCAAGUGCGCACGAAUCAAAUGGCGCUGAUUCGAUGCCCAGCCGGGUCUUUUAAUAAAAAACAUUUAUAAAACCUAUGACCUUAUACUGGCGUAGCAAAGCUACUAUAGUAUAGCAGUUCUAGGGUCGAACUCAGGGAUGGGUUUUCACUCUAUCAGUGACAGACUCUAAAUUAGAAAUUGAUUCUGAUGAUUUCCUUUAGCACAAACUUGAAAUUUAAAAGAAAAUAAAAUUGUUUUGAAAGUGGUGAUUUAAACUAAACUCACAUAGAACUAAGUAAAAAGUGGAAGAAAGAAAGUCUCCCGGAGCUAAAGGUUGCUAGGUUCAAGUUCCAGAUGCAAAGUGGAAAAUUCCGGAUUUUUCUCCUCGCAUUGGGGAUUUAACCUAUACUUAUUUCCCGAACCGGUAUAGGUUUGACAAUGAAGUUUUAAUCCAUAAAAAGUCACUAGAGAUGGUGGUCAAGGUCCAUUAAUGGCUUAAGACACUAUGGGCUAUCACCUUGAAUCACUUUCCAAUGGCUCGUACAUGAUAACUAAUGGACUGAUAUGGAUCUAGAAAUAAGCAUCCACAGAGACCGUAAGCUUACCAUGUAUUGGCCAGUCAAAGUGAUUCGAAGGGAUUUAAGGCAAAACCUUGGCUUUAAAAACCAUUUAUGGACUCCAACUACCUGAAUUUAAUGCACGGAAACUUUCCAUGUUUUAAUCUGGACUUUUCACCUAGCUUCCUUUACUCCAAGAAACUAAAUGUUUAGCCUCUCAUCCUCUGGGAAAACAUCCUCAGAGGGUGUUUGGCUUGCAAGAAAAUAGAAAAUAGAAGAGAGAAAAAGAAAGCAAAAGAGAUCUCUGUAUUUCACUAAGUAUCAAAUUUACAUCAGUUGGUCUCCUGGAGAAAGCUCCCCGAAAAGAUCUUUUUUUCAGUGAUUACAAGAGAAUUUAUAUAGGAAGGUAAUUUUACCCUUCCUUGGAUACUUCCUAGCUAAGGAAUUACAUGAGUGGUUGAAUACAAGGAGAAAAUGGAAAUUUAGACACAAAAAUAUCAGAAGAAAAAGAGUCGGCAAAAAUAUCCAAUUUUCGCACGCUGGAGUUCCAAUUUCGCACUUUGAUUUGAGGUGUGCGAAAUUUUCGAACAGUGGACUGAGGAAUUCGCACCUUGAUUUCCAUCGUGCGAAAUUGUCCCUCAGCUUGAUGCAGUUGUCUUCCGAAGGCCAUAUCUUUCUCAUUUCAGCUCCAAAUCGUACAUGGUUUGAACCGUUGGAUUCUUGACUUUCUGAGCUUUGAAAUGGUAUAUAUAAUGUAAAAAAUGGACUUCGGGAAGUGUUCCAAAAGUGCAAUGAAAGACUGCAGCUGUGUCCCCUAUUUUCAUCCCCUGUUUUCCUCUUCUCCAUUGUUUCUUCCUUGUAUACUUUGAACGACUAAGGCAAAGGAUUAUGAGGCUCCAUAGCUUGAUUUCUUCAUAAAUUUAAGCUUUCAAAAGCUUUGCCAUGAACUAUAAAUAGCUCUCCCUCAUUCUUAAAUUGCUUUGGUGAGCAUAAAGCUAUCAAAAAGCACCAAAACUUAACACAAUUGUUAGAAACGAUUGCAAGGGUCCCUAACAUGUUAAUUGGGUUAAAAGGUAAUAAUUACUACUCAAGGGUGUUUAAAAGAGCUAAUUACAAACUACAAAAUAACAUGUUUUGAGUAGUAAUCAGGCGCUGUUGCCGGGGAAGGUGCCAACUUCAUAGUGAUAUUAUUUCAGUGUACUUGUGAUUUUCAUCACAAGUUUGGUAAAUUUUCUUUCAUUUUACUAAUUCUUAUAUAUUUUUUUAUUGUAUCUUUACUUGUUCAUAAUCUAAUAUAUCUUUUAAAUUUAGUUUAGUUCAUUUUAGUUUUUUUUGGUAGCCCUGUUUUCUUUUAUUUUCAUUUUAGUUACAGUUGAUACUAGUUGUGUAUGCCAAAUUGGAUACAAGACAGUGGAGGAAGGCUUGUCAAACGUGAUAUACCUCAUAAUAAGGAAUUGGAAUUGAGCUUGAAUAUCAUGGAAGCUACACCUGAGGAUCAGCAUAGUCACCAUGGUCAUCAGGACAAUCCCAAUGAAUUCAUAUCAAUAAGGAACCGCAUGCAUCCACCUCGUAUGAGUGCACCAUCAUGUAUAGUGCCCCCUACAGAGCAGCUAGUGAUCAGACCCCAUAUUGUGCCACUUCUACCAACUUUCCAUGGAAUGGAAAAUGAGAAUCCCUAUGCCCAUAUCAAGGAAUUUGAAGAUGUUUGUAAUACAUUCCGAGAGGGAGGAGCUUCUAUCGACCUGAUGAGGCUUAAAUUAUUUCCUUUUACUUUAAAGGAUAAGGCCAAGAUUUGGCUAAAUUCUUUAAGGCCAAGGAGUAUCCGUACUUGGACUGACUUACAAGCUGAAUUCCUUAAGAAAUUUUUUCCCACUCGCAGAACAAAUGGCUUGAAAAGGCAAAUUUCAAACUUCUCAGCUAAAGAGAAUGAGAAAUUCUAUGAGUGUUGGGAAAGAUUCAUGGAAGCCAUUAUUGCUUGUCCUCACCAUGGCUUUGAUACAUGGCUGUUGGUGAGUUAUUUCUAUGAUGGGAUGUCUUCCUCAAUGAAGCAACUCCUCGAAACAAUGUGUGGAGGGGAUUUCAUGAGUAAGAAUCCUGAGGAAGCUAUGGAUUCUUGAGUUAUGUAGCUGAAGUCUCAAGGGGAUGGGAUGAACCAAACAAAGGAGAAGUGGGAAAGAUGAAGUCUCAACCGAGUACUUUCAAUGCUAAGGCUGGGAUGUAUACCUUGAAUGAAGAUGAUGAUAUGAAAGCAAAAUUUGUGGCUGUGACAAGAAGAUUGGAGGAGCUAGAACUGAAAAAGAUGCAUGAAGUGCAAGCUGUUGCUGAAACACCAGUGCAAGUAGAGUUGUGUCCUAUUUGUCAAUCUUAUGAACACUUGGUGGAGGAAUGCCCUACAAUUCCAGCUGUAAGGGAAAUGUUUGGAGAUCAAGCAAAUGCUGUUGGACAAUUCAAGCCCAAUAAAAAUGCAUCGUAUGGAAAUACUUACAACUCAAGUUGGAGGAAUCAUCCAAAUUUCUCAUGGAAGGCAAGAGCACCUCAGUACCAACAGCCGGCUCAACCAUCUCAACAAUCUUCGAGUCUUGAACAAGAAAUAGUGAAUCUCAGCAAGGUUGUGGGAGAUUUUGUUGGAGACCAAAAAGCCAUCAAUGCUCAACUCUGUCAAAGAAUUGACAUGAUGGAUGAAGUGCAAAAUGAUCUAACUCAAAAGAUAGAUAAUCUCCAAUACUCAAUCUCAAGGCUCACUAAUUUGAACACAGUGCAAGAGAAGGGUAGAUUUCCUUCUCAACCUCACCAAAACCCCAAGGGUAUCCACGAAGUGGAAACUCGUGAGGGAGAAUCUUCACAGGUGAGAGAUGUUUAAGCCUUGAUCACUCUAAGGAGUGGUAAAAAGGUUGAGCCACCAACACUCAAGCCAUAUGUUGAAGAGAAGAAAGACGAAGAGAUAAAGAAGAUGGAGAAAAUGAAAGGAAAGAAGAAAGAUAUCAGUGAAGGGAAGGAGGACCAUGGUUCAACAGUGAAUGCAAAUCCGGAGAAAGAGCUUAUUAAGGAAGAAUUGAUGAAGAAACGCACAUCUCCACCUUUUCCUCAAGCGUUGCAUGGGAAAAAGGGGAUAAAAAAUGCAUCAAAAAUCCUUGAAGUAUUGAGGCAAGUGAAGGUCAAUAUCCCACGUAUGUAAAAUUUCUAAAGGACCUGUGUACUAUCAAAAGAGGGUUGAAUGUGAACAAGAAAGUCUUCUUGACUGAGCAAGUAAGUGCAAUCAUACAAUGCAAGUCUCCUUUGAAGUACAAAGAUCCGGGAUGUCCUACCAUUUCAGUCAUGAUUGGAGGAAAGGUAGUGGAGAAAGCUUUGUUAGACUUGGGAGCAAGUGUGAAUUUGCUACCAUACUCUGUCUACAAGCAAUUGGGACUUGGUGAGUUGAAGCCAACAUCAAUCACCUUAUCUCUAGCAGAUAGAUCAGUAAAAAUUCCAAGGGGGGUAAUUGAGGAUGUCUUAGUUCAAGUUGAUAAUUUCUACUAUCUGGUAGAUUUUGUUGUUCUUGAUACGAAUCCUACUAUAAAGGAAGCUAAUUUAGUUCCUAUCAUCCUUGGAAGGCCAUUCCUUGCUACCUCAAAUGCAAUCAUCAAUUGUAGGAAUGGACUCAUGCAACUCACUUUUGGCAACAUGACACUUGAUCUCAACAUUUUUUAUAUGUCUAAAAAGCAAAUCACUCCGGAAGAAGAAGAAGGUCCAGAAGAGGUAUGCAUUAUCGACACUCUAGUGGAGGAGCACUGUAAUCAGAAUAUGCAAGACAAGCUGAAUGAAAGUCUUGGGGAUCUUGAAGAAGGGUUGUCUGAACCCCCUGAUGUGCUUGCUACUCUAUAAGGUUGGAGGAGGAGAGAAGAGAUUCUACCUUUGUUCAAUAAAGAGGAAGGAGAAGCUGCUGAAGAAGAGACCCUAAAGCUCAAUUUGAAGCCUCUGCCCAUGGAGCUGAAAUAUACAUACCUUGAAGAAAAUAAUCAAUGUCCUGUUGUUAUAUCUUCAUUUCUUACCGGUCAUCAGGAGAUUUCUCUACUUGAAGUUCUUAAGAGGUGCAAGAAAGCAGUAGGGUGGCAAAUAUCUGACUUGAAAGGAAUCAGUCCUUUGGUUUGUACACAUCACAUAUAUAUGGAGGAAGAAGCUAAACCAAUUCGUCAACCUCAAAGAAGAUUGAAUCCUCAUUUACAAGAAGUGGUGCGAACUGAGGUACUGAAGCUACUCCAAGCAGGUAUUAUUUAUCCCAUAUCUGACAGCCCUUGGGUGAGUCCUACUCAAGUGGUACCAAAGAAGUAAGGGAUUACUGUGGUUCAGAAUGAAAAAGGAGAAGAAAUUGCUACACGCCUCACUUCAGGUUGGAGGGUGUGUAUUGACUAUAGGAAAUUGAAUGCUGUGAUAAGGAAAUAUCAUUUUCCACUCCCGUUUAUUGAUCAAGUGCUGGAGAGAGUAUCUGGCCAUCCUUUUUAUUGUUUCUUGGACGGGUACUCAGGGUAUUUCCAAAUUGAAAUUGAUGUUGAAGAUCAGGAGAAGACCACUUUCACAUGUCCGUUUGGAACAUACGCCUACAGAAGAAUGCCUUUUGGUUUAUGCAAUGCACCUGCAACAUUCCAAAGAUGUAUGUUGAGUAUCUUCAGUGAUAUGGUGGAGCGAAUUAUGGAGGUUUUCAUGGAUGACAUCACCGUAUAUGGAGGUACAUUUGAGGAAUUCUUAGUCAAUUUGGAAGCGUUUCUUAACAGAUGCAUUGAGAAGGACUUGGUGCUCAAUUGGGAGAAAUGCCAUUUUAUGGUACGUCAAGGAAUUGUCCUUGGCCAUAUCAUCUCCGAGAAAGACAUUGAAGUUGAUAAAGCAAAUGUGGAGCUUAUUGUCAAAUUGUCGUCCCCAACAACUGUAAAAGUAGUUCCUUGGCCACGUAGGGUUCUAUAGGAGAUUUAUAAAAGAUUUCUCUAAUAUUUCAAAACCUCUUUGUGAGCUUUUGGCUAAGGAUGCUAAGUUUAUAUGGGAUGAAAGAUGUCAAAAUAGCUUUGAUCAACUGAAGCAAUUCUUAACAACAACUCCAAUAGUAAGGGCUCCUAACUGGUAAUUACCCUUUGAAGGAAUGUGUGAUGCCAGUGACUUUGCUAUAGGAGCUGUACUUGGCCAAAGAGAAGAUGGGAAGCCCUACGUGAUCUACUAUGCAAGCAAAACAUUGAACGAGGCUCAAAGAAACUAUACAACUAUAGAGAAAGAAUUGUUAGUUGUGGUGUUUGCUUUAGACAAGUUUCGUGCUUAUUUAGUAGGGUCUUUCAUCAUUGUUUUCACUGACCAUUCGACCUUGAAGUAUUUAUUGAUGAAGCAAGAUGCAAAAGCAAGGUUGAUUAGAUGGAUUCUUUUGUUACAAGAAUUUGAUUUCUAGAUCAGAGACAAGAAAGAGGUGGAGAAUGUGGUAGCUGACCACCUUUCAAGGUUGGC
rnacentral:lncRNA from 1 species